GUUUCCUACCUUUAGCUUGCUUGACCCACUUCCUAUCUGAUCCUUCGAUACUUGGCUUAAAGGUCAGGGGUUGGAAGUUUCUCCCAGCUUGUUUGGUUUCGCUCAACUUCACCAUGGGGCGCCUAGGAUCAGGAUAUCUCCUGGGAUCAAAAAACCUUUUCGGCUUACUCGCUUGAAUAUUAUGGAUGGAUUUACGGCCAUUUUGGUGAUUCACUCUCCUAACCCCUUCUAGAUUAUGGGUUGCCCUUUUGUCGAAGACAACACUACACCUGAGGCAUAUCAUAACUUCUGAUUUCUUUUUUUGGCACCUUCAGAGGAAGUCCGACAGUGUUUCUUCCUCUUGAGGGAAGGCGAUUUUGUUGUAUUCCUCUUGCCAACAUUCAUCAUCGACUUCCAUGGAGACUUCUCGAGAUACCUCCACCAUAUUAACUUCCAUGUGAAUAUCCUCAGUAAUAUCCAACCUUUGGAAUUGUUUUUGAAGGCCGUCGGUGGCCUUGUCCAACUGAAUGAAAUUAUCAGCGGUCUCUUUAGUGAUCAUCACUAACUUUGAAUUUCCAUCACCCUCGACAUCUGAGGCUUCAACAUUUAUUUCUUAACAUCCUCUGUACCCCUUUGGGCGAAACCGUCAAGAGGUUCCUGCUCGAAGUGCUCAUGUACUUUAACCAUGACAAACCUAUGGACAAAGUCUUGAGUAACUUCGGUCAUGCAGAAAUAAUCACCGACUUUAAUGAAAUUCACCUCCUCUGGCUCAAUAUAAUGAGCUUCAACGAUUUGUAGAGGAUCAGAGUCGAUUUUCAUCUGGCUCUAUGUCUUAUCAACGAACUUGAGUCUUCCCUCCUAGAUUGCAUUCUGCAACAGAUCCCUGAAAAGAAAACAUUGAGACGUUUUAUGAACCAAAAAACUAUGGUAUUUACAAAACCCUCGUUUCUUUCUUUGUUCUAAAUAGGGUACUUUAGCACCCGGAGGUACUGUCAUUUGACCAUCUUUGACCAGUAAGUCAAAAAUUUCGUCACAUUUUAUAACGUCGAAUGUAUAUGUUUUCUUAGGAAACUUGUGAUUCUUUUCAGAUUCGACAGGGUUUUUCCCGUUCGAAUGAGCUAAAACUUUGCACGCAUAUGGUGGCCCUUGUGUUAAUUCAGCAAGGUCGAUCUCAAUAUCAUCGAAGUCUGGAACUUCAUGACCUGAAUAUUCGUGAUCUUUCCUAAAAUCGACAUAGGCUACCUUUUACCUUUGUUCGUCCUAGCCUUUUCUUCUUUUAAACGCUUUACCUGUCAAACUCUGUCAGCUAAUUGGGACAUAUCCCUUAGGUAUUAAGUAUCCAAUUUCUUUCUAAUCGAAUAGUCAAGGCCCCCAGCGGCCAUUUCGACCAGCUCAUGCUCUGGUACUUGUGUAAAACACCUGGCUUUGAGCAGUCAAAAUCUAUUCAGGUAGUCAUCAAUUGGCUUAGUGAAUUUCCGUCUGACACUAGCCAACUCUUUCAAACUUAUCUUCGUUUGCCGCAUGUAGAACUCUUCAUGGAACAUUCUAUCCAGUUGGUUCCAUGAGUGGAUUGAAUUUUGGGGCAAAGUUGUGAACCAUGUGAAAGCAUUCUUUGUAAGAGAACUUGGAAAAAAUUCCAUCUGAAGACUCUCGUUAUUUGACAUAUCCCCAGCUUCAAUUAAAUAUCUCACCACGUGUUCGACAAUAGACUCAGUAGUAUCCCCAACAAACUUGGUGAAUUUAGGGAUUUUGGUCCUUAUGGGUGCAUCCGUUUGCAGGACAUACUCUGCUAAAGGCGACGUAUAAUUUGGUCUUCUAAGUCCAAAAUUUACCCCAUUUCGAACCAUAAUCAUUUCGACUAUGGCUGAUAGGUUAUUAUCUGGUGUCGCAUCAUCAUGUCGAACUUGCCGUAUGAUAUCAUCAGCAUUUUGAUUUCUAUUUACCAUUAGCACCCUUGGUUCCCUAGGUACAUGUGGUUCAAUCCUAUGGGGUGCUACUACCCCCCCCCCCUUGAUUUUGUGGGAUCUGGUUAAUAGUGAGGUCUUCCUCAAACGUGGGCUCUUGACUCUUUCUUAUCCAAUCCCUAGGCAGGGGACACUGGUGCUGAGGUAUACCAAGAAACUCAGACAUACGAGCCACUUGUGUUGUCAUCUGUUGAUUCGACUGAGUUGUAUUCUAAAUCAGAGGAUUUAGCACAGUGGUCAAAGUUUGAGUUAACAUUUGGACCAUUUUAUGAUUGCUUUCUUCCAUCUGUUACCUCCAUGUUGCCGUAGAAUUAUUGGUAAGAGUGGGUAGUUGUACUGAGUGUCUUAGACCUAACACUUGAUUGGUUCGACCCGUGUUUAUCCGGACCCUUGCACUGGUGAAUUUAUGUUAGCCUCCGGUUCCGAAAAAGUAGAACCCACGCUCUGUAGAUUAGCCAUCAUUGAAGUUGGCAUUCCAUACGGUUGUUCUCGACCGCUAAAUGGUAUUGAGAAACCAGGGGGUACCAAUGACCUAUUUGGGAUGUCCUAAUUGGUGAUGGAGUGUGAGAAGGUCCCCUAGGUCUAAUGUAAGUUAGAAUUGGUUCAGAAUGGGAGAUCGAAUCCGUAGGCAUCGAACUCGCUAUAGACAAAACUACUUCGGACGCAUGUGUUGCGCUCGUGUUUGUCCCUAUCGAAGAAGAAGGGGGCACUAUGUUGCUAGUUGGUAGAUUUUGAGAAUUCUGAGUUUCUGGCGGGUUCAUAUUCGCCAUCCUCGUCUGGGAUUCUCUCCCUGUUCGUCGUUCGUUGUCUAUGGCUAUUUUACCACUUCUUAAAAGCAUACAAUGACUCUUUUCUCAAGCAAAACUUAGCAAUCAAAAAUGUUACAUAAUACGCGACGUUAGCACUAGUCCCACUGGGCGUGCCAAUUUGUUUACCUUGAAAAUUGGUAAACAACCGUUGAUCUUCCAAAUUUCUAAAUUUGGUCACUCACAGGAUCGAUCAGAUUGAUCCUAGGACAUGUGCUAAGUGUCUCGUAAUCGUGGUAGUAAUAAAUGAUCAAAACUAAAUGCCAGAUCAGAGUUUUAAAGAAACUAAGGAAAACAGAGUGAUUUAAUGAAAAAGAAAAGUCUUAAAUUAACGUUUGGAACUAGUAAAGAAAAAUGAAGUAAACGACGGAAAUUGUAAAGGAUUGAAAAUAAUUAAGUGAAAAGUUUGCAAGUACUGGAAUCUUAAGAUUGUAAGGUAAAAAUUGAAGGUAAGGAAAGGAGUGAAAGGAUCUUAAAUUUGCAAAUGACAAAGUAAAAAUAAAGCGUUUAAAAGGAAAAAACAAGGAAGAGUGUUUCUGAAAAGAAAGUAAAGACAGUUUUAUAAUACUUUGAAAUGAUUAAACAUACAUCCUGCGUUUUAUAGUUCUUCUUCACACGAAUACUUAGUAAAUUUUCAUAUUUUGUACACAAUUUGACACACACUUUUCUAACACUAAGACCCUAUAUUUAUACUAGAUCGAAAUAACUGCUUUGAUGGUCCUUCAAUCACGUCGAUACAUGUGGCGCCCUGCAUGCGUGCAUUCGCUCACCCUGCUCCACGUGUGUUGUUGCGGCUUCUUUGAUCGAAAAUCGUUUUUCAACCGCUUCUCAAGGAACUGCUCAUAAAAUUCAGCUAUGAGCAUGAUCUUUAUCCAAUCAGCUAAGUCGAUCUACCUCCAGCUGGUUGAAUUACUUCUUGGUCGAAACUAGUUGUACAUAUUUUCCAAUUUUGGUAAUUUGGAGUGGGCGUCAAAAAUAAGUUCUCUUAUAGAGAGAUUGUUCCAUGAACAGUUCUACGUGGGACAAUUGAAAAUAAGUUUGAAAGAACUAGCCAGCGUCAAACAAAAGACCGCUAAGCCAGUCAAUCAAUACCUCAACAGGUUUAGACUUUUAAAAAGAAGAUGAUUUACUCAAGUCCUUGAGCACGAAUUAGUCGAAAUAGUUGCAGGAGGUUUAGACUAUUCUAUCAGGAAAAAGUUAGACACACAAUGUCUUAAGGAUAUGGCACAAUUAGCUGAUAGAGUUCGAAAAAUCGAACGCUUGAAAGUUGAAAAAACCAAAAUUAGUAGAUACCAUAAGAAAUAGGAAGUGUUUUAUGUAGCAGCUGAUGAAUACUCUUCUGACGAUGAAUAGCUUGUCGACGAAAGCGAAGUCAACGUGGCUGAGCUCAAGCCAGGAACUCCUUACACGUGUAAAUUUUUGAAACCAUCAAACGGGAAAAGUCUCAUCGAAAUGGAGAAAACAGAUAAAUACGUUGGUAAAACUUAAACUUUCAAUGUGUCUAAAUGUGACGAGAUAUUUGAUUUGUUAGUUAAAGAUGGUCAAAUUAUUAUUCCUCAAGGUUUAAAAGAUCCCCCAUUAGAGAAGAAAAAGACAAGGGGAUUAUGUAAGUUUCAUAAUUUUCUUGGUCAUAAAACAUCUCAAUGUGUUUUUUUUAGGGAUUUGGUGCAGAAAGCUUUGACAGAGGGAAAGCUUCAAUUUGGAGAAAGGCCAAAGAUGCAAGUAGACACAAAUCCUUUGAAGGUCGAAGAAGCCUUAUAUUCUGAGCUUUUCGAAUGCAUGAUGGUUGAGACUACUGAUGGUCUCAAUGAGUCUUUGGCUGCAUAAUCUUUUAAAUGCAUGAUGGUUGAAACUACUGAUGGUUUCGACAAAAAGAUUGAAGGCAGUUUAUCCUCAAGCUGGAGAAGACUUGCCUGAUUUCCAGGAGAAAUGUUGAGUGAGUGGGUCAAAGGCGGUGCUAUGUGUUGGUGUAAGCCCUAGAGGCCAAUACUUUUGGUACUUGUAUCGAAUUAUUUAUUAAUAGUAAAAGGCAUUUUCUUUAUUAUGGUUUAUUAAUAAAGUCCCUGGAAUAGAUAGUCCGUUUAAUGUAUUAAGUGUGACUUAAUCAUGAGAGCACAUUAAACAUAAGGACAUCAUUCUUAAAGUAUUCAUAGUCGAGCUUUAGUGUGAAGUGGGAUAACAUUAAAGCAUUAAGACUAUUAUGUUUGUAGACUGAUGAUCACAUCUCAUGGAUCAUGGAUAAAGAGUUAUCAAGUCUUAAACAUAGGUAUGAACAUUAGGAGUAAUAUUUAUACUGGAUUGACCCGCUAUGAGAAUACUAUAUAGAAAGUUAUGCAAAGUGUCAUAAGUUAUUCUCAUGGUGAUAAUAGUGUAUACCACUCUUCGACCUGAAACCACUAUGGAUCCUAGAUGUAGAGUCGAGUGCUUUAUUGCUGAUCCAACGUUGUCCGUAACUGGAUAACCAUAAAGACAGUUGAUGGGUACUCCACAAAGCAUGUUGAGGGACAUGAGUGUCCUAGAUGGAAUUUGCCCAUCCUGCGUUACAGGAUAAAUGUCUAUGAGCCCAAUAUUGACUGGACAAGGAUGACACGGUCUAUACCUUGUGUUCAAUAUAGACAUAAGGGCAAAGGGGUAAUUAUACACAUAUCACAGGAGGUUUUGUCAGAUCACAUGACAUUUUCGUGUCUUGGGUAGCAGUGAUGUGUUGCUAGAUACCGCUCACUGUUUAUUAUGUUAAAUACGUGAUUUAAUAUAAUUGCCAACGCCAUGAAAACCUAUAGGGUCACACAGAAAGGACGGAUUGAUGAGAGAUAGAGUAACUAAGGAACAUCGUAAGGUACGGCGUACUUAAGUAGAAUACAAAAUAUGGUAAGGUACCAAAUACUUAAGUGAUUUUGGCAUAUUAUGAGAUAUGGGCCAAAAUACACUUAAGUGGGCUUUUUGGCUUGAAGCCCACACAAGUGGUUCUAUAAAUAGAACUCUUGUGCAGAAGUAUUCUAUGGAAAUACAACACAACUGAAGAGUUGGAAUUUCGUAUCUCUUUCUCUCACUCAAAGCCUUCAUUCAUAACAGCUAGCACUGCGAUUGAAGGAAUCCGUUCGUGUGGACUGAGUAGAGAGACGUUGUCAUCGUUCAAUGUUCGUGACCGCUCCGUGGAUUUGUAUCCAAGGUUUUUGAUCGUCACAAGAGAUCUGCACCAAAGGUUUGAAUCGCCACAAGAGGUAACGAUUCUAUCACUGAUCAUGCCCAUUCGUAAGGAUCACUAAAUGGAGAAAUUUUUAAAUUCCGCUGCGCCUUGGAUGGCAAUUCUCCUUCACUAUGUCCAAGGUGCAAUGGUGUUUUCAAUGAGAAAGUCGUUGAGAAGUAUGAAUCUGACAAGAAGAAUGCACUGGAAGAGGAAAAGCCCAACAUCCCAAGGUUUGUGUUCGAUAAAAGUGGGGCACCUCGUCGAAAUUAAGAGUACAUAAGGAAAUUCCAGCAGCCUCGACCAAAGACCUUUCGUCCUCCGUCGGAUAUGCCACAAGAGAAGUGGGUGGAACCUGUGAAUCAGAAUGGGAGCAAAACACCAAAAUGGAAAGUGCUUGAUCUAGAGAAAGAAGCAAAGACUUUAGAGAAGAGGGUCGAACCCAGAGGUUAUGUGGUUUCCCCUAAUUACAAAGGGAAAAACCCUAUGCCAAGAAUGCAAUGGAGGCAUUAUCAAAGAAACAAGAAAGUUGGGAAAGAGGCUUCGACUUCACAGUUGAAACCUGUCGAAACCUCUGGAUAGAAAAAACAAUAUCUAAAAGGAAUGUGGGUUGAAAAAGGGAAAUCGUGGCAAACCAGACAAUGGCCAUGACCAUGGACUCUUCAGGAGAGAAAUGAAUAGUAUCAACCCAAAGCACAAAAUGCACAUCUCUGGUCGAAGAUAAGAAAGAACCUAAAUACACUCCUCAGUCGAAUGAGGAGGAGCUUGAAUAUUCUCCUCAGUCAGAUGAGGAAGAACCUGAGUGUUCCCCCCAGUCUGAUGAAGAAUACAAUCUAUCACUAGAUGACGAUAUGUAUGAUUAUACUAACAAUGAUACUUAUGGUGAAGAUUUCAUCGUCAAUUGUGGCAUCGUGUCGGUAUUGCCUGCCGAGUAUGAUAUGGUGUCAGAAGUCUCUGAAGCCGGCGAGGAUUUUGUACCAGAUGAAACUGCUGAAGACAAACAAUUAUGCUACUAUUUUAUGAAUAGUGGCAUGGUGGAAGAACAAAAUGCUAUGUUUGAAAAGCCUAGUCCAUGAAAGAUGUAUCAUUUGAAACCAUUGUUCAUAAUGGCAAAGGUCGACGGAGUAGAAGUGAAUAAAGUGUCCGUGGAUGGAGGAACAAUUGUCAACUUAAUGCCUCAUACUUUGUUUAAGAAAAUGGGAAAAUAUGAUGGUGAUCUCCCACAACAUAACACGGUUUUAUCUAAUUAUGAAGGAAAAACCAGUAACGUUCUUGGGGUUAUCCAAGUCGAACUAGCCAUUGGUACAACCACACGAUCGACGCUUUUCAUGGUGAUAAACUCUAAAGCGAAUUUCAACUUUCUCUUAGGACGAUAAUGGAUCCAUGGAAUAGGGGCAGUGCAUUCAACCUUACACCAAAGGUUGAUUAUCUGAAGGAAAGAUGGCAUUGUUGAGAAUAUCAAAGCUGAUUAGAGUUAUUACAAGAUCGACGAGGCCAAAGGCGCGAAGAAAUCCUUCGACCAAUAUUUGGCGAAUAUUGCACCUUGUGAUGAUGACUCAGGAUCCUACACAUCUGUCAACACAGGCCGUGUCCUGAAUCUAGAUCCUGAUUAUGGAUUUAUAUGGAAUGCUGAAGGUGCAAUGGAGCCUAAAUUGGUAAAUCCACCUAUGGGGUGGCCUGCAGUCGAUGAAGAUGACCACUGAGUCAGAAAGUUUGGCUCGAAUUUAAGCCUAUUUGGCUGAGAAUAAAAGAAAAUCGGCACUAGAAGCUGAGAAACUACAAAAUUUGGCUAUCGAAGCCAAAGUCGAAGAAUGUGAAGAUGGCCAACAAUGCCAAACAACAGCUUCAGAAAGCCGGAGGCUAGAUUGCAUUUAUGACAAUGAGCCUUUGGGGUUUGAGAAAGACCCAUUAAAUGAGUUUCAGAGAAUGCAAGCACAAGACCCACUGGAGGAGAUAUAUUUAGGAGAUGGGGUCAUAAAAGACCAACUUAUAUAAGCACUAAAGUUGGGUCGAAGAUGAAGGCUAAACUGAUCGAAGUAUUGAAAGAGUACAAAUAUUAUUUUUCAUGUGACGAUGGCGAAAUACUUGGCCUAAAUCGAAGCAUAGUAGAACAUCGACUGCCUAUUCAACCAGGAAAAUGGCCAGUAACGCAACAUCCUCGAUAGUUUGCUCCAAAAAUCACAUUGAAGAUUAAGUAGGGGAUCCGGAGUCUACUCAAAAGCCAGUUCAUUAGAACUGCAAGGUACGUCGAAUGGUUAGCGAGCAUAUUACCCAUUAUCAAGAAAAAUGGAACACUUAGAGUCUAUAUAGAUUUUAGAGACUUAAACAAUGCAACUCCAAAAGAUGAGUAUUCGAUGCCAGUGGCAGAAAUGCUAAUCGAUUCAGCCGCAGGUUUUGAAUACUUGAGUAUGCUUGAUAGUUAUUCUGGCUAUAAUCAGAUUCUCAUAACAAAAGAUGAUGUUCCAAAGACGGCGUUUCAAUGCCCUAGAGCUUUGGGAACAUAUGAAUGGGUUGCGAUUCCGUUUGGUUUAAAAAAUGCCGGAGCAACCUAUAAAAGAGCCAUGAAUGCCAUAUUCCAUGAUUUUAUUGAAAAAUUUAUGCAGGUAUACAUUGAUGAUAUUGUGAUAAAGUCUUCAUCUGAAAAUGGUCAUUUGGACCAUCUUCGACUCUCAUUUGAGAGGAUGAGAAAAUAUGGAUUAAAUAUGAAUCCAUUAAAAUGUGUUUUUGGUGUACUUGCAGGAGACUUCUUGGGUUUCGUGGUGCACAAAAAAGGCAUCGAGAUCAACCAAAACAAAUUAAAAGCAAUUUUGGAUCUCAAGCCUCCUUCGACAAAGAAGCAGCUCCAGUGUUAGGGAAGAUAAACUUAUUGAGAAGAUUUAUAUUAAAUCUAAGUGGCAAGACGAAGGUUUUCUCGCCAUUGCUCAUGAUUAAGAAGGAAAGUGAUUUUCAUUGGGAACGAGAGCAACUGGAUGCUUUCAAUGCCAUCAAAGAGUACCUCACAAAGCCUCCCAUUUUAUUACCACCUAGUAUAAAUAAGAAUAUGAGGUUAUAUAUUGCUGCGUCAGAUACAACGAUAGGAAAUAUGUUAGCACAAGAGGAUGACAGUGGUGUCGAAAGAUCCAUCUAUUACCUCGUUCGAAUUUUAAUAGAUGCUGAAACUAGGUACCAUAUGAUUGAAUAAAUGUGCCUAUGCUUAUACUUAUCAUGUAUGAAAUUAAAGCAAUAUAUAAAACCAGAUUAUGUUUAGUCUCAUUUUGAUAUUAUUAAACAUAUGUUGUCUAAACCCAUUCUACAUAGUCAAAUUGGAAAAUGGGCAUUAGCAUUAACUAAAAUUUCUUUAACAUAUAUGCCUUUGAGGGAUAUGAAAGGCUAAAUAGUGGUAUAUUUUAUUGUAGACCAUGCAAUAGUUGAACCAUCACUAAACACGGUCGACACGAACCCAUGGAGGUUAUACUUCGACGGGUCAAGUCACAAAAAUUAAAUAGGUGUUGGCAUCUUAAUAUUAUCCCCACAAGGCAUUCUGACGAAGUUCAAAUGUAAAGUCGACAGAAACUGUUCCAAUAAUGAAGCAUAAUACGAAGCCCUAAUCUCUGGCCUCAAAAUCUUGAGGUAUUUAGGAGCCAAGAAGGUCGAGAUAAAGGGUGAUUUUAAGCUAGUGAUCAAACAAAUCACACGAGAAUAUAAGUGCGUUAAAGAAAAUUUGGUGAUGUAUUCCACAAUGGCGAAACACAUAUUAGAGUGCUUCGAGGUUGUCAGCAUUACACAUGUGCCUAAAAUAGAGAAUCAAGAAGCUAACAAUUUAGCACAAAUUGCAUCUAGGUAUAAAGUGUCGAAAGAUAAGCUCAAGGACUUUAUUGAGGUGAAAGAAAAGAUGGUGUUGAGCGUCUCGCCGUCACCCAAAAUGCCAAUCCCAAAAACUGAGGGGGGGUGUAGAUGUCUUAAGUAAUUUUGAAAAUUUCGAAAGACAUGAAGUUUUUUCCAUUGACAAUUUGUCGCAGUCAAAUCGAAGAAAAACAAUCACGGAGUACUUAGAAAAUCCAAUCGGAAACACUAACAGGAAAAUCAAGUAUAAAGCGUUAAGUUAUGUAUGUCUAGGAAAUGAGUUAUUGAAAAAGACUCCAAAAGGAGUGUUGCUCAAGUGUCUUGGGGAUAUGGAAGCAUAUUUGGCAAUGUCUGAGGUACACAGUGGAAUAUGUGGAACUCACCAAGAUGGCCAUAAAAUGAAAUGGUUAUUAUUUCGACAAGGUGUUUACUGGCCAAGUGUGUUAAAAGACUGUAUGGACUUUGCCAAAGGGUGUCAAGAAUAUCAGAUACUCGACAAGGUAUUAGUUCGAGAUUUGUUGGUCAAAGGCUUGUUGUCGGUUGAAACACUCUUUCUUCUUAGUCUCAAAAUCAUUGAGUUUCCUUUCACAAAUUUCGCUGAAGUCCCUUUCUCGUGUCAUCUCAUUGAGCUUCGUUUUAAUUUGGAAGUCAGUGUGUCAAUGAAGAGUGAGGUCUUUGACAAGGUAAGUGAAGAAGGCUUCAAAUUCAAUCAUAUGUUUGUCCACAGGAGCAGGAACUUUAUGUCGAGAAAGCUCAUCAAUCAGCUUGAGGACGUCGACCCCCAAGGCCUCUUCCUCUGCGAUGAUAGCCAAAAUUUCACGCUCAAACAAAUAGGUUUUCAGCUGUUGGAGUUUGAGAAUGACGGAAGCAUCCAUUUCUUGAAAUAGGCAUGGUAAUCGAGCUAGAGGGUUGAGCAUUAAUUAAAACUUGGCGAAGCUUCUGCAGCCUUCUCAAAGUCUUUGUUGUAUUUUGUUGUUUCAGAGAGAGAAUCUCCUCCGAAUUAAAAUAAUUAUUGGAACUUUUAUCUUGCAUAAGGGGGGAACCUUUAUCAGAGGUUGGGAAAGUUAAUUUUCCUUUAUCAGUGGAAUGAGACUCGCCACCAACAGUAGUUGAAGGACCCUAAAUGUGAUGAACCAUAUUAGACCGCAAUUGCGUUAGUGAUUUGAUCAGACAUUCGGCCAUAUUAGAAACCACAUUCCCCUAUUUCAUCCAUGUUCAAGUAUUUUCAUUGAAACUCAAAGUUUUAGAAUACCAAGACUCAAUUUAUAAUGAAAAACUAUAACAUUAUGUAUUUUUUAAGAAUGUCUUUCAAACACUUCUCUUUAAAAAUUUACGCUUCAACUGCCACAAUCCGCAUUACAACAAUCGCAACACCCACAACCAUACUGUAAUUUAAAACCACGAACUCCACUACUUUCCACUAUUUUGCGUCCAUCUUUUUCUCUUUCCAUGUCAAGAGGUAUCCUCACUAGGGGGCCUAGCGACUUCUUGGAGUUUACGGAUUCAAGAUUGAAGCAUGGGUUUAAUCUAUGCGAAUAUCUAUUUCUAGGCUCUCUUGCAUUGCAGCUGAAUUUUUCAAGCUUACUUGAAUUUCAUGCAAAUGCAUUUUCUUCACGACGCAUGGCACGUGAGUUGUUACCGUAUUUUGUUUAGCUUUAGUAGUAUACAACAGAUCAAAUUUUUUCUCAUGGGCAUUUGUUACCCUAAUUUAAAUAUAUUUAUGUUUGUAACCUUGAUGUAUCAAUUCCAUGAAUAUUCCUCUUAAACUAAAUAUUUUAUUACCGAUAUAUUUUUUUGUUAAUGAAUCAAAAUUAUAAUGAAUUGGUCAAUGAUACUUGAACAUGUACUUGUUUUGACUGCCUAUUUAUUUUCUAUUGGUAUCUAUGGAUUGAUCACGAGCCGAAAUAUAGUUAUGUGUCUUGAACUUAUACUGAAUGCAGUUAAUAUAUAUCUAGUAACUUUUUCUGAUUUUUUUUUAUAAUUGCCAAUUAAAAGGAAAUAUGUUUUCAAUUUUUGUUAUAGCUAUUGCAGCCGCUGAAGCGACUAUCAGACUUGCUAUUGUUUUCUCAAUUGCUUGUAACAGAAAAUCCACAUGUAUCAAUCAAUCAAAUUUGUUGAAUAAAUAUCAUUAAUCCUAUCAUAAAUAAUAGUAAAGUCGAGUUUCAAAUAUUAUAAUAUUAAUCCAUUCAUUUGAGCAUUUAUUUGACACAACUUAUGAUCAUAUCAUGUUCGCAUUGCCUAAAUCAUAAGAAAUCAAAGUAUCCUAGUCCUCGUCUAUUCCCUCUUCUAAAUUUAUCUAGAUACCUAUUUUUAUUAAUAGUUAACAAUAUUAUCAUAAAACAUUGAUGCAUCUGGUAUAUAAAUAUAUGGUUCAUAUACAAGUUUAUUAGAUCUGAUAAUUUUCAUUUUUGAACAUAAAAAAUUAGCAUAGAUAUAAUGUCGCAUUCAGUAAAGAUUUAUGAUACAUGUAUAGGGUGUACUCAAUGUGCCCAAUCAUGUCCCACAAAUGUAUUAGAAAUGAUACAUUGGGGUGGAUGUAUAGCUACAAAUAACUUAUGCCCCGUGAACAGAUGAAUGUGUUGGUUGUAAGAGGUGUGAGUCUACUUGUCCGACAUAUUUCUUAAGUGUACGAGUUUAUUUAUGACAUGAAAUAACUCAAAGUAUAAGUCUAGUUUAUUGAUCCAUUUCAAAAAAACACCACACAAAUACAUUUUUUACUGGCAAAAACUUGUGCUCAAAGUAAAAUAGAAAAUCUUUUAUUUUAUUUUAUUUUGAGCACGGGCUUUUCUGGCCCAAAUGUAUCUUAUUUUUAUCACAAAUUAUUAGGAAUACAUGGACUUUUUUUAUUAUUAAUGGAAAUCAUGGGUAUGAGUUUAUAUGGCUCUAAUGAACCAACAUUAAAUUUUGAAACAUUAAUUGAUCAAUCGUAUCCCGUGGCACUAGAAACAAUAUUCUAUACGAUAUUUCAUAUUGCUUUUGCUUUCAAAUUGUUGAUUAUACCCUUACAUACAUGGUUACCAGAUACCCAUGGAGAGACACAUUAUAUCACUUGUAUGCUUUUAGCCUGAAUCUUAUUAAAAAUGGGAGCAUGUGGGUUGGUUAGAAUUAAUAUAGAUUUUUUCCCACGCCCACUCCAUAUUUUGCCCCUAAUUAAUGAUAUUAUGUUCUAUUCAAAUAAUCUAUGUCGCUUCAACAUCUUUUGGUCAAUGUAAUCUAAAAAAAGAAUAGUUUAUUCUUCGGUAUCUCAUAUGGGUUUUAUAAUUAUCGGAAUUGGUUCUAUAAGUGAUAUUGGUCUCAACAGGGUCAUUUUAAAAAUAAUAUCUCAUGGAUUUAUUGGUGCUGCCUUUUUUUAUGGCAAGAACUAAUUAUGAUAAACCACGUCUUCUUUAUCUUGACGAAUGGCUAUCCUAAUGCCAAAAAAUAUCCACUAUUUUCACUAUUUUAUCAAUGGAUUCUCUUGCAUUGUCUGUCAUAAGUGGUUUUGUUGCAAAAUUGAUAGUUUUUUUUCGGAAUAAUUACUAGUCAAAAAUACUAAUUACUUUUGUAACUUCAAUUUGAAUGAUAUUAACUCCUAUUUAUUUAUUAUCUAUCUUACGACAUAUGUUCGAUGAAUACAAGUUUUUUAAUAUACCAAACUCUUAUUUUUUUUAUUCUGCCCCCAGAGCAUUAUUUAUUUCGAUUUUUAUCUUUAUACCCAUAAUAGGUAUUGGUAUUUAUCCAUAUUUCAUUUUCUCAUUUUUGAUUGACAAGGUAGAAGUUAUUCUAUCUAAUUUUUUAUGGAUGAUUUUUGUGAAUAAAUGAAUCAAAAGAUAAAAAAAAUUGUUAGAUUCACUUUAAAAAAUUGAAAUUGUAAUUGAAUAGGUUUGUUGUUUGUGAGAACCCCAUGAAUCAUUACAUUACUUAAUUGAAAGGGUUCUCGAUGAUUUAUGGAAAGUAUAAAUUUAUAUGUUUUCCAUAUUUUUCUUUCUCAAGUCCUGAAACAAGGCUUUAUGUAGCUUUUGAUAUCAUUGUCUUGGUGCUUGCUUAAAAUCAUAAAGUUAUUUGUUAAAGCUUGCAUACCAAGGCUUUUUCAGAAUUGAUGGGGUUGAAGCAUCAUUAUCUUGAUUCUUUUGUUUUUCAAGACAAUCACUAAAGUAGUGACCAUACUUCUGACAGUUGAAACACUGAAUGUGACUUUUGUCAUGUUUUUGGCCACCACCUCUUCCUUUACCUACAUCAACACCUCUUUGGUUGCUUUGGUAUGAGGGCUUUCUCUGAUUCGAUCAGCCUCCUUCUUACUGAUUUCUACCAGACGAAUUGUUGUAGCCUCCUCUACCUUUAUUGUCGAACCACUUUCAUUUGUCUUUCUUUUGUCUUGUGGAUUGUGCCUGCAAAGUCAUACCACUCUUCCACUUGCCUGCAGCUCUUCCAGUAAUUCUUUGUUAAUGAGAUUCAAGUGUCCCUUGAAGCUAUUCCUUUGUUAAUGUUGACAAAUCUUUUGACUCUUUUAUGGCUACUACCAUGUAUCGAACUUUGGAGCCGAUGACCUUAAGAUCUUUGAAACAAUUUAUCUUGAUGUCAACACUUCUCCACAUACCUUGAUUUAAUUCAUCAGUUUUGUAACCCUAGUGAAAAAAUCAGUUAUGCCUUCAUUGUCUUCCAUCUGAAGCAAUUCAUAUGUUCUUUUGUGAGUUUGUAAGCUCACUUCUUUCACCUUUUUUGAGCCUCCAACCGAUUUUUCAAGAAUUUCUCAUGCUUCUUUCGCUGAUUCAACAUCACUAACCUUUUCGAAAUUGUUUGCAUCAACAUAUUGAUGGAAUAUAAAGAGAGUUUUAUAAUUUUUCUUCUUCAAUUCUUUGUGUUCAGCCUUUUCUUAAUUUUUCGCAUUUGUUGCAAGCAUCGUCACUCCCUUCUUCACAAGAUCCCAAAGAUCUUGAUAGAAAAAGACAAGAUUUAUCUGCUUGCACCAAUUCUCGUAAUUCUGAUUCUUCAGAAUUGGGAGACACACCGGAAAAUGCUUGUCCGGAUGAUUCAUCACCAUCGUGUUUUGCUUCUCAUGAAUCGCUCAGUCAGUGCUCUAGAUACCAGAAGUUGGAAAUUCACAAAUUUCUCUUCAAGAAAUUCAUCAAAACUUAUGGAGAAUUCUGAACCAAAUCUUAAUGAGCAAUAGUCAAUCUUUCUUAUUGUUACUCCUCUAGUUCUUCACUCUUCAGUCGAGUGAAUCAACCAUACUAGGUUGCAAGAUUAUAUCGUUGUACAAUUGUUAACGGGAGAAGAAAUAAAAGAUGAAAAUUUGGAAGAAAGGGAAUUAGGGUUUUAUCAAAAUAGGGGAAGAAGAAGAAGAAGAAGAAAAAUUUCUACAGAGUAAUUCUUUGCUCUCAAACUGAGAUUUUAUUUAACUUUACAAUUGCAUUUCUAUUGUCUUAUCAUUUUACAAUGAUAAGGGUUACUACCUAUUUAUAGAUUGAGUUUGUUUUCUCCCUAAACAAAGCUCAAAUACCUAAUUCUCAGAAAAAUUGGGUCUAAGUAAAAAUCCAUGUUGAUGCUAACUUCUCAACACUUCGACAACUAGAUCUUUCGACAACAACAUGUUUCGACAUCAUGAAUUACAUUCUCAAUAAUAUUCGUAUCACAAGUGACAAAUUCUAUCAAAAAUUAUUAUUUUUUAAAGAUUUCAUAAGUGUAUUACAAAAUAUGCAAAUAAAAAUAAAAUUAGGGUAUUGAUCACAGUCUUUAUUGAAUUUCAUGCAGAUGCAUUUUCUUUGCGUGUUGUUUGUUGCCAUAUUUUUCUUUUACCGUCACAAUGUAUUUGGACAUAAUUGGGCUUUUGGUUGUUCGAGAAUUGGAGCUUUUAAUUAUGUAAAUUCAAUUGUUUUCUUUUUAAAACAUUUCGUUUAUUAAGUUAUAUAGCUAUGAUUAUUUUUGUUUUGUUCUGUGUUAGGUUAUGUACUGUGAAAAAAAUGGGGACGAAGAAUAUAUAUAGUAGGUUUUUUUCAUAAAGUUAUAUGUAUAUUUUUUGAAGGGUUAUGUUUGAUUGUUUUCUAUGUUAUUACUUAUCAUUCUCCGGUAUUUGAACAUUUAAUUUGAUAUUUCCCAAUUAAAUCUGGCACCCUCCAUUUGAAGCGAAAUGAUCAUAAUAUCUUUGUAAAAAUUUCUGAAAAUUUUGAUAUUUCCCAAUUAAAUCUGGCACCCUCCAUUUGUACCAACAAAUUUUACCCUUUCUAGUUCAUUCCCUAUAUGUUGUAUACAUUGCCUUGAAAAAAAACCAUGCAAGUUCGUAUAGAAUGAAGUGUUAUACCGAUGCUCAAUGUUGGCAAUACUUUUUUGGAACGAGACCCUGAUUGAACCAAGCUGCAACUUUAACAUUGUGUUCACAACAUCCCAACUUUGACAUAAAUCUUCUCGACUUGUAGUCAACAUGUUUUUUAGUCUCCAACGAUCAGACUCCACCUUGUUCGUUUUUGUGUUACCUAAAUGAGUGACUCCGUUAGUCCAAGCUGUAACAAACCUUUCUUUAGAAGGUGCCAACCAUGUUUCAAUCACAUACUUAACAAACAACGGAAUAUCAGCACAAACAGUCUCAAAGUGCUCCAAGUGUACGACAAACUCAAUUUCUCUAUUAUCAUACAUGAUGUUAUUCCAUAGAUCCAUGACAUGCUCAUGUCUUUCUGAUUUAACAUACUCUUUACAUUUCAUGCUAACGUUUUUUGAAAUAUGGAACGAACAUAACAUACGAGUUGAAUUUGGAAAUACAACUUCAAUUCAAGUUCCCAAUUCGUCAUGACAAUAUUUGGUAGCAAUUUCUCUGAAGAGAACAACUCUUUGAGCUUAUCCAGUAUCCAUUUGAAGUUUUCCUCCUUUUCAUGCUCCAAAUAGGCAAAGCCUACCGAAAAUGUCAAUUUUAUUGACGUAACACUAACAAUCUCAAGUAGUGGUAGCUGGUACCUGUAUGAUCACGAUGUAAAUAAUCAAAAGUCUGAUAAAUCAAACUAUGUCGAAAUGAUAUCAAGACAUGAUCAUUAUUCACAUUACCUAUUUGUCUUGUAUGUACAAUAAAAAAUCAACACCAAAUGAAACAUAUUCAACAACUUCAGUGAAUCAGGAUAUGUUCAGAAGAUAUCAGCAACAACAUUUGAGGCUUCUCUAUUUGUCUAGCACAUAUUUCUCUCUAUGAAUAAGACUCAACAUUUGCAUUUCCGUCAAUGAACCUCUCUUGCUCACAUUGUAUGUAGCUCUAGCUUUAUACACUUGGUUAACGUUAAUGAGGUUUCCUGAAUCUUUGUCUUUCAAGGCAGAAAUAAUGUAUCGUGGAGCCAUGUUGUACUUCGUGAUGUCAUUCAUAAACUGUCUCUCAUGAACUUUUAGACAAUCCAAUAUAUCAUGGCCAUAUAAAUCCUCAGAUAGUUUAUGAUUGUGAAGUUCACACCUAACCAUCACCUUCCAAUCAAUACCACCCAGUGUAAAUCUCAGCCUAAAAUGGAAUUUCACUUUCAUACUAUAAGUGCCCUCUGAGGAUUUACUGCUUUCAGAUGUAGUCUUUCUUUUAUAAUUACAUCCUCUCUCACAACCCAAAAUCAAUUUAUCUUUCCUACCCUACUGUCCAUUUGCAGUAUCAAAACGAAUAGUCACAACUCUAAUACCAUGUUGUUUGCCAAUAUUUUAUGCUCAGACUAAUACUUUAGAUAGGUGUCGUACCUCGAAGAAUAAUGAACGCAAUGGGAAGGUAUUAGCACCCCUCACGUCCGUUGUACUCAACGGGAACCGUUAGGUUAGUUGUGCGCGUUAGUGUUAGUUUAAAAUGUUAGGCUUCUCGAGUUAUUAGGUGAGAAAGAAAGAAUAGAAAAGAGAAGAAAGUUUUUGGAUUUUCAAUGAAGGAGACUAAACCUAAGUUUUUUAUUAAUGGGCCUGACAAGAUUUACGAAUCCUGCUCCUACGUAUCUCCAGGUGCAAUAGAGAACUCAAGGUUUACGUAGUUAUGGGUAGAAAAUGUUUAUUUAUUGGUCGAUUUUAGCGAAAGCUACUUUGUGUCAAUCGACGAAAACAUUGUUGGACUACCCAAAACAGGUGGAGAAACAUUGCCUUGCAGUGUUUUGAAACAAAGUACCUUUUGUUUGAGAAAGGGUUUGAAGGGUCAAUCGCACGGCGGCGAGAAAAGAUUUUGAUUGGUUUGAUGUGUUUUGAGUAAUGGCGAGAACUUGGAUGAGCGAGAUAUCCAUCUCGAAUCCUGGUCUCAGGAGUGCGUGGUAUCCCCCACGUUCCAUUUCCGUCUUAUUUGCAAAAGUAUUUAAUAAGAAUUAAGUGUUUUUGAAUUUGAUUGAGAAAUGGUUUGAAGAAACCGCAUUGACAAUUUUGGAUAAUGGCGAGAGCUAAAAUAAGCAAGUCAUCCACCUCGAAUCUUAAUCUCAAGAGUGCAUGGUAUCCACCACGUUUCAUUUCCAUCUUUAUUGAAUAGUGUUAAAUAAGAAUUACGUAUUUUUUUGAGUUUUUAUUGUAAAAAUGGUUUGACGUUGGAUCGAGCAUUUAAUAAGCGGUUGAGAAAGAACUUUGAAUGAAGGUUUGAGAGGAACAAAGUAGAUAAAUUUGGAUGAUGGCGAGAACUAAAAUAAGCGAGGCAUCCACCUCGAAUAUUAAUCUCAGGAGUGCAUGGUAUCCACCACGUUCCAUUUCCAUCUAUAUUGAAAAGGUCUUAAAUAUGGAUUAAGUUUUUUUGAGUUUUUAUUGUGAAAAUGGCUUGACGUUGGAUCAAGCAUUUGAUGAAUGAUUGAGAAAGAUUUGAAUGAAAUGGUUUGAAAGAAAAGGACUGGGUAGAAAUGGAUGAAUAGAAAUGGAUGGAUUUAUUUAUUGGGAAAAUACUCGACAUUGGAUCGAGUUUUUAUUUUUUGAUCUUUUGGAAGCAGUUGAUUUUAUUCUUGUGUCAGUAGCUAGCUAAACAGUCAAGAAAAUAAAGGAAUAAAACAGUAAAAUUAUUACACAUCAUGGGAGUGGGGGUACAUUUUUGUCGAAUGGGGAUUCAAAGUAAUGAAAUAAUUAAAUCCGGCCCAACCAAAAAGCAAUGCAGUGUAUGAGUGUAGGUGUAAGAGAACCGUCUCAUUGUAAGAAAACCCAAGAGUAAGCUGUGUGAGGUUGACGAUGAUGCUUAAAGGAAAUCGACUUACAAGGGUGUGGGGAUGGGGAAAUUACAACUAAGUACUAUGCUCAAAAUUGGUUUAUGCAUCAUGUCAACAUUGAAUGAUCAUGUGCGACCAACCGAAACGUGGCGAAAUUAUAUUAUUAUCUCGAUGAAAUAAUCAUGGAUAAACAACAUAAGAGCGGUUGAAUCCAUAAAUUAAAAUUGAUGCUUUGUCAAUUAAAAUAAAUAAAAGGGGUAAACAUUAAAAACAAUGAGUAUCGGAGAAAUUCUAAUAAAACAUGAACAUGGGAGGAUUAAAAAGAAUAACGUAAAAAAGAAAUUAAAAUGUUGUAAAACCAAAUAUGCCACACACAAAUAUCAAACCCAGGACUAAGAGGGAGAUCAACUAUCUCCAUCUCCACCCGACCAUGAGUUACCAAGUGUCAAACUAGGACCAACAAAAACCUAAAUACUAAGCUGAAACUUUGAAAGAAAAAAAAACAAACAAAAAGGCCAACUAAUGGGUCGUUGGAGUAAAUUGGACCAAAGCCCACGACAGUGGCCAUAUCACGAAAAUGGAACAGGUCAAGAGUCCAAUGGUCACCCCAACCGCAUGGUUGUUGGGUGACGGAAACCGAAGAGCCUUCUCACUAUAAUGCCAAUUGUCGGCAUUAAUGAGUGGUGGUUGUAAUAGAGAGCCACGCAAGUCCCAACGGUAAACCCAACGGUCAAAAAAAUCAUUUCAAAAAUGGAAAUAAUUAAAACACAAAGGGAAAUGUUUAAAGAGGCAUCAGUGCAUUAAUGACCUAGUGUCAGCCUCCAAGGCAAGUUUUUUCUCCCAAAAAUAUUUUUAUUGCUUUAAACACCAAUUAAAGGGACGUUAUUGUGGUUUAUUGAAACAAAAAUGUACAAACCAAGAAAACACUUUUCCUCUCCCAAGCCAUGGCGGACGAUCAAGGAGAAAUCAAAACACGUGAUGAAAAACGCCACAACCCCAAGCAACACAGUAGGGAGAAAGACAAUGAAGAACAAAACAAAGAGAAAGAUGAAAAGAUAUUAAACCAAAGCAACCUAAGUUCUCAUUCGCACCUAGAUCGUGUAUCUGAAGCGAUAAUGCAAUGAGAAAUUUACCUGAUCACCAAGAGAUCAACGGAGAUUGGAAAAGUGAUGUUGGAUCCUUCCUUCAAAUGCUCUUUCUCCCGUUGAUUCAACUCCAGUGCGCUCACUCGCCUGCUUUGCCUUUGGAAUAAGCUUUCUUCUAAACGGCGGCGAGAUGAGGCUCUAGGAUUCUCUCCAAAGAACACCGCCUCCAGGUUCUUUAGACUCUCCUUAGUUUGAAUUUCUUUAGUUUUUUUUUCUUAUCUCUGUUAACAUAUCCUUUUUCUUUAUGUAGUCCCGUUCUGAUUGUGAGAGGCCUCCAAAAAUUCUCUCUGUGGUCCCUCUCUUCUGUCCUUUUCACCGUUGGGGACGACAUUACCUUUGGGAGUGUUGGUGAGUGUUCGUACGGACACUUUAGGGCCUUUUGUCCUCAUCCAAACUUGUGACUCCUCCUCUACUCCUCAUUUUACCCUUUUACUGCUUGGUAAGAAAUUAACCACUGCUUAUGAAUUUACUCGACACACUUGAACAAAAUUGGAAUAUGUGUUUUCUUGAAUUGAUGAAACGUGAACUUGUUAAUUUAAUUUGUUGUUGUUGAUACUUGCAGCUUAAUGUUUCAGAUGAAGAUAUUAGUCUAUACUUUUCCAAGAUGUUGCAAUGCUACACAAGGUUAUCAUUGAUGAAGUAGGAAUAUUUAAUCUUUGCCUUGGAACAAAUUUUUAUUUCAAGUGAAUUUCUUCAUUCCUCUCUUUAUUUUUUGUUGGAGAAUCUCAGUUCUUCAAGUUACCAAGUUAGAAAUGCUACAGAUUAUGUCUUGUAGAUAGUUUCCACUACAUCUGGCUAUGAAAUAGUUGGACAGUUAGUUUUGGAAAAUGCAGACUAUAUGGUCGGUUCAAUAUGUCUACAAUUACGCCAUCUAGAUGUCAAUCAUCAUGUACCAAAUGUACUGGCAUCUAUUCUUUAAUACAUUGGAGUGGCUCACAAGAUAUUCCCCUAUUGAAGGAACCGGUGCAUUGUGUGUCAAUUGGACUCGAAAUAUUGGGUAGACAUCAACAUCCUGGUUUAACUACAUCGUUCUUAAAGGCAUUAGAAGAAAUAGUGAAGGUAUCAAAACAUGAAGCUUGUUAGUUGCCCUUGUUGACACGCAAGGUUUUGAUGUGGGUUUCAGCUGCUUACUCUUUCUCAUGUUCCAAACUUGACAUGAUGGUAAUGGUUUCGUAGCAUGGUUUUAUGGUUAUUAUUAUUGGACUGAUGCGCAUUUUAUUUUGCUUGUUUGGAGACAAAACAUGCAGGUUGGUGCUACUGCAAGGUUUGCUUGCAGAUCGGUUCAGGUUAAGCUUACGGCGUAUCAAAAUGUAUUGGGCUUGGUCUUUGCUUAUGUGCUUUAGUGUGAGGUAUGAUUGGUAAAGUCCUGUAGUAAUCAGUUACAUUCGUGAUGCUAACCAGGAUUUUGGGCCAUGGCGUGUUCUUGUGAGCUCUAUUCCGUGCGUGAUGGUUCACUUCACAACAUGAGCACGAUAAUGCAUCACUGCUAUGUUGCCCAUUCUGUUCGUAUCAGGUUAGCAUUAACCUGGAUUUGACUUACUUCAAUGGCCUGAAAACGCAUGGUUGGAUCAACAUUUUAAUGGAUUAUAGCGUACAAUGCAAGCGUGCUUUUUAUGAUUUUACAAACUUGAGUUCCUUUAUUGGCUUCAGGUAGUGUCGUAGCAGAAUUGGCAUUGAGAGUAGCGGUUCUUUCGGAGACAAAAUGUUGCAGAAUUGGCAUUGUCAUAACGUUCGAUCGCAGACUGGUCUAGGAUUCCAAGGCAACAAAUGGUAAGCUUUUGAUCCUUGUUCACGCCUUUCAUGUACGUCGUAGACUUGGUGAAUUUACUCUGAACUUGUUGCGUUUGAUGCUAUGCAGGAUCUUGAGUCAUGGCAUAGUUUGGUGAGCUUCCAUACACGUAAUGAUUUGCGUUUCAUUUUCAUCUCUGCACUAUGAGAACCAAACCUUGUAAUGUUAUACAUAGUGCUUGCAGUUAGGAAGAAUGCUAAUAGACCAAGCAAGUAAGUUGUAAAUGCGGAUUGCCGAACGAUGGUUAUAGUGUAUGCUGCAAACUUGUUUUUUUAUGAGUUUUCGAAAUUUAAACUCGUGCUUCAUCAUCGGUUUCAGGUGGUACAGUAGCAGUAAACACUUCAACCUGAAUUUUGGGUGACGGCUGGAAAAUGACUGAGCCUGUUGAAACGCAUCAAGACCCUCUGCAGAAAGGAACAAUUCUCCUUUGCCGGACUGCGGAAGGCUUCUCAAAAUUGUGAGCACAUAUGCCCAUUGUUUUGUGUCAAAGAGAGGAUAGGUCAUGCAUACAACUUUGAGCUUGUCGGUUAGAGGUUAAAGCUUAGGGAAGUCAGAGCCGGUGAUACAACUCUAUUCUUCAUAUUCUUUCAUACCGUUGACAACCAUCUCUUCUCCCAGUCUAGUGGAGAGAUAACGUGAGCCAGUAACCCUAGUAGCCAUUUUCUAAAAAAAACAAGCAGGGUAACCAUAAAAAGACCUGCCCAUAUUAUAUAUGUGUAUUGCAUAAAGGCGUGUCAAGAAAUAGGCCUGCUAAAAAUACUUUGUCCAAUGUGUUAGCUUUUCAUCGCAACAUCUGUGAAGAUAAUUUGAUCGGGCCACACCCCUUUUGCAGUAGCAUAUGCCCAUCAGUCUCAUUUCGCCUGCUGCAGGAAAUUUCAGGAGCCAAAAACUGCCUUACUUUUCAUAGAGGAGGAAAACAGGAGAGUGAAGUAGGGAUUGGGAUUCUUGGGGUUUUAGGGUGGGUUGAAUUUGGUCCAAAUACCAAUUUGUAAAUUAUGUACGUUCUGUAAAAUUUUAUGUUUCAUAAUGAAUGUGACAUUUGAUGAAAAUUGGCUCUCUUUUUUUGUGUAGUAAAACAAAAAUAUCUCUUCAUUUCUUAGAAACCUCAUGGAUUCAUGUGAUGAUACCUAAAUAUUAUGAACUAAUCCCCUGUCAUGCAAAUGGAUGACUCUGUUUGAAUGAAUGCGUGAAGGUCUUUGGUCAUGAGUGAAAUGAUCGUAAUAUGAAUGAUGGAAACCUUUAAACAUGAUUGAAUGGAAGAUUUCAUAAUAUAAAGGGAAGACUUUGAACAUGAAAUAGAGAGUAUGAAUAUGGAUAGAGAGAUAUGUGUGGAAAUUUUGAAUCUUGAAUAAAUGAAAAAUGAAUAUGAAUGAUGGAAUGAAUCUAAUGUUUGUAUCUGGCAUAGAUAUUCAUUAGAAAUGAGUGACGAUUAGGAAACACGACAAUGGAAUGUGAAUGAUCGCAUACGUGACAAACUUGAACGAGGGGUGAAUGGUGCUUUACGAGGGAGACAAAAACAUGGAUUGAAUUUAGUCAUGAGAUAAAAGGUCAUGAGAUUCCACCUGAUUCUUAUCAAAUGAUAAUGGGCUCCAUGUCCUGCUUGACCAAGCGAAAUUAAUUACCCUAUACCAAGAUAAAUGGCAAGGCCCAAAGGUUUAUGGAACAGCAAGUGGUGAUAGGUCUAAACAAAAACAAAACGAUGGAUAGAUUCAUGAUCAGAUGAAAUGGUCAUGCGGAGAAAUGUAAAUGAAUGAUUGAUUGGAAAAAAUUUCAGGACCAAACUCAGGGUAUGACAGUUGCCCCUAUUUAAACAUCCUCAACCAGAGGAAUAUGAAAUGGCACCUCUUCAUUGGAUCACAGUGGGGGAUGGUUAAAUACCAUGGAGACCCAGAUUUUGAUCCUGAAAAAAAUGCACAUGCUAUGAUAUGAUAUGCAUGGGUGAAGGACUCUUUUUUUUGUGAUUUUUAUCUUCUAGAGAUAUGGUGAAUCCUAACAGGGAAUUUUAUGCAAGACAGACAAAUCUAUGGGGGAUAACUGACACCAAGGUAUUGGUAGGCCACCGGAAACGACAAAGAGGGUAGAAACCCAUUGGGGAUGACAAUCCUGUUGGAGAAUCAGACACACACUGGGGAGUAUUCAAAGUGAAAGUUGACAAACGACUGUCGCAACCUGAAAAAAAACAGUGUGCAAAAAAACCAACCGGCGAAAGAAAAUGACAGAAGAGUCUCCACCGUGCGUUAUUUAUCCCAAAGGAGGGAAAGGAAAUGCUCGAAGUAAACCUGAAAAGAGGAAAGGAAAAGACAAGGUCUCGCAACCAAAUCUUGGGUUCGGGAGUCGGUUAUGCGAAGGAAGUAUUAGCUCCCUACGCAUCCGUUAGUACUCUACGGGAUCCACUGUUUGUAGUUCUUGUCUAAAGGGUGUGAGUUUAUCUUGUGUUGUUUACUAAAAAAGGGGUUAAAUGAAAAUGACUCGCGCGGAUGUCCCAUCCACUGCAUACGUAUCUCAUCUGAAUAUGAGAAUCAGAGUCUUCGUAGCUCGCUGACCUAUGGGGUUGGGGUGUGUGCCCGCUAAGACAUCGCGUCUUAUGCCACGUAUCUCAUCUGGAAUGAGAAUCAGAGCAAGCCGUAGUUCGGCUAACUACGGGGUAUGGAUUGGGUUUUGGACGAACGACGUUACUACGCAAUCUACCGAUGCUCGACCUUUGGAGACUUACUCGCUGUAGUAGAAGGAGUAAGCGUGAUGUGUUAGGAGGAAGAAAAUCAAUGAAGGGUUAGGGUUUGGGUAAACUCAUGCCAAAAAGGCAGUCCUUGACGAAGGAACCUGCAUAAAGUAAACACAAAAACAUUGCCCUCUAUCGAGGUCUUCCAGCUAGGAAAGCAGUAAAAUGCGGGAAAAAUGUAAAAGGUACCACACGGAUGAAGAUCCGAGGUAACAGCAAUUAAAGGAACGAUAAACCCUGAGAUCCCUCCAAGCUAAACACAUCAAAGAAAGUGAGUUAGUAUAGGUAAUCGGAAUGAAACCUCCAGGCGGUAUCCCACAAAUAAAGUGGAAAACCACGCAAGUUAUCCCUGCAAAAGUCAUGUGAGCCAUCACAAAAAACUCAACAAACAGGUUAGAGACAAAAAAAAUAGGGUAAUCAAGGGUUGCCCCCAAAUCAAAAUGUAACCACAUGAAUCAUGCCAUUAAAAUUCACAAAAAAGACAUCCAUCAAAAGGGUAUCAAAUUCACCCAUAAUACCUCAAACAUUCAGAGCAUUCAAAUUAAAGGCAUAAAGAUGAUGGAUAUAGGGCAAAUCUGAUUGGAGAGCUUGAUUGAAAUUGAGUUGCACCCGUGAGGUUUACAAAACAAUCUUUAGGAUUUAUGUGAGGCAGAGGUGAUUCUGUGCAGUUGAAUUCCCUUCAGGGUUUGGAGGCUGCUCUGAGUUCUCUGUCAGGUAGUCUCUCUCUAGGUUUUGUUCCAAGGAAACCUCAGAGUGUUUUGCUUCUCUUCCUUUUUCUCUCUCCUUUGUUUCAAUGAAACUCUAGUAUUUAUAGGCUAAUAUUGGUAGCUUAGUGGGGUUUUGAGAGAGGUCCAAGUUUGAGAUUUUUUCUUUUAUUUAUUUAAAUUUUUUUUUUUUCGUUUUUUCGUUUUUUUUUUUUUGAAAAAAUAUUCCGAUUGCCAUGAUGAAAUGCAAAUGCUAAAUGACCUAAAAAUGAAUGCAUGCAUAAGGUGUAAAGCGUAUGCUUCCAGGAAAAAUGAAGGAUAAAUUUUGGGGUAUUACAGUUGCCCCUAUUCAAUGAACUGGAGACCUGGAAAGAAGAUAGCAGCGGCUUUCGUGCUUUCGAGGUGUCAAGGGAUUGAAUACAAUAAAAGCCCGAAAAUUUGCGCUGAAGUGAAGUGAAGUAACAAUGCCUGUCAGAAUUGGAAAAGAGGUGGUCUUGAAAGAAGAAUCCGUCUGGUACGGUGAGAGUCAGUCUGAAUACUGAAAAAGAAUGUUAACCUGGAUACCAAAAUAAAUGGUAACACAGAAAUAACCAUGGCCUGAAUGCCGCUAAAAGAGGUGGUCUUGAAAGAAGAAUCCGUCUGGUACGGUGAGAGUCAGUCUGAAUACUGAAAAAGAAUGUUAACCUGGAUACCAAAAUAAAUGGUAACACAGAAAUAACCAUGGCCUGAAUGCCGCUCAUCAGUCUGAUUACCGAAAAAAAAUGUUAACCUGGAUACCAAAGUAAAUGGUAACACAGAAAUAACAAUGGCCUGAAUGCCGCUCAUCAGUCUGAAUACUGGAAAUGACUUCGAUCUGAACAUCGGGAGAUAUUAGAUUAUUAAUAUCGGUCUGAACACCGAGAGGCUGGCCUGAAUGCCACAAGUUGCAUCGACCUGAAAGUCGGAAACUUCUUCGAUCUGAACAUCAGAAAAUUGGCCUGAAUGCCACAAGUUGCAUCGACCUGAACGUCGGAAAUUUCUUCGAUCUGAACACCGAGAGGCUGGCCUGAAUGCCACAAGUUGCGUCGACCUGAAUGUCGGAAACUUCUUCGAUCUGAACAUCGGAAAAUUGGCCUGAAUGCCAGAAGUUGCAUCGACCUGAACGUUGGAAACUUCUUCGAUCUGAACAUCGGAAGACUGGCCUGAACGCCCCAAGUUGCAUCGACCUGAACGUCGGAAACUUCUUCGAUCUGAACAUCGGAAAACUGGUCUGAACGCCACAAGUUGCAUCGACCUGAACGUCGGAAACUUCUUCGAUCUGAACAUCAGAAAAAUGGCCUGGACGCCACAAGUUGCAUCGACCUGAACGUCAGAAAGUUCUUCGAUCUGAACAUCGGAAAACUGGCCUGAACGCCACUUCGGUCUGAAUACCGGAAACUUCAUGCCUGUCAGCAUCGGCAGAAAUAGGGAACGAUAAUAGAGGCGGCGCAUGGGCCAAUGACACUUGCUGGGGAUAACGAAGGUAAGUCAUGAACAAUCUUCAAUCUGAGUACUGGAAACAACUUCUGGAUUAUCACUUGGGAUACCGAGAAUGUUUUAUGCUUACAUGCGUAUGUUUGAAUUUUUCAAUGGCGUAAUGCUCCAUGAAAAUGGAAAUGCUACGCGAUUUGGGAGGAUGCAAUGCAAUAUGAUUCUACAUGCAGGGAUGCGAAAUGCUGGGUAGAAUGCCAAGCUGAGGCAAGGGGAUCUGCUGGGGAAAUGAUCACCAUCUUCUGGACCCUGGCAAGGCUGCUAGAGAUGCACAGCGCAAAGAAUUCUGUGGGGAAAUGACCCGCCACACGGUGUUCUAGCAAUGACGAAAUACCGAGAUUCUGACUGGGGAGAGAACGGCACUAAAAACCUGCUGUUGGGGAAAGCGAUAGUGGUUCUGGCAACCACGAUCUGCGAGAGAUGACUCAGCAGGGGAAACAAACACCAAUACGGUACCGAGGUUCUGCUUCAAGGAAAGAAACCAUGGAUCUGGCAUUGGGAUUAUCGAUCUGGCCUCGAACCCUGAGGAGCAGCCGCUUCUGCUGGGAAGAUACAGUCUGGCACUGUCAACUCCGUUGGGGGUAUAUAGUCUGACAUUGUCAACUCUACUGGGGAGUGUAUAAUCUGAAACCACCGCUUGGGGGGAGGUAUAGUGGUGAGAACCUGCUGGGGAUUGAAGAAUCCAAUGCUCUGAUCAGCUCUGCAGGGAUAAGAUACCGAAUUCGUCUGUUGGCGACUUUACUGGGGAAAACAUUCACGAUCAUCUGCAGGGGAUUUUAUGGAAAUGCCCCGAGGGUACCUGUUCUGAAUAGACGAUCCAAAGCACUUAAAAUUAACAGCAAUUUUAAAUUUUUAUUAAGCAUGUACCUGUAAAGCUCUUAUGUGUCAUGAUGCAAUGUUUAUCAAAAAAUUCGGACGUCAUUUUUGCAAACAAAACAGUAAAAUGAAAAUGAAAACAGAGAUAUACUGAAUAACAUGAUUUUAUUGNGCAAAACCAUGUCGAAGUUCCUCUUAUACAGCACAUCGUCUUUGUUCAAGAAGAAAUUGCCUGCCAAUCUUCUCAAAGUCUUUCUAUCAUUGUUGGAUGCCCCUGCAGGGUACUCUUGAUUCUUCAGGAAGCACUUGAUGUCAUGAUACCAGGGCUUGUCAUCAACUACCAGUUCAGCAGCAAACACAUACGCGGCCCUAUCAAGGCGCAUCACGUCGAUCUUGGGAGCAUGGUUCCAACGGAUCACCGUGAUCACGGAGGAUAGAGUAGCAAGAGCAUCUGCCUUCUGGUUCUCAUCACGAGGUAUAUGGUACAGCUUUACUGUUGUGAAGAAAGUCAACAGUCUUCUCGUGUAAUCUCUGUAGGGGACCAGAGUAGGCUGGAGAGUGUUUCAAGCACCAUUCACUUAAUUGAUUACCAGAGUUGAAUCUCCGAAGAUGUCCAAAGUCUUGAUUCUCAAAUCAAUGGCUUGCUCAAUACCCAAGAUACAAGCUUCAUACUCAGCUUCAUUAUUGGUGCACUCAAAAGUCAGACGAGCGGUGAAAGGCAUGUGGGCACCUUUCGGAGUUGUAAUGACAGCACCAAUUCCACUUCCUCUGGCGUUGACGGCCCCAUCAAACAUUAAAGUCCACUUUUCGUCUGGAUCAGGUCCCUCUUCAACAACUGGCUCUUCACAGUCUUUCAUCUUGAGGAACAUGAUGUCUUCAUCUGGAAAAUCAAACUUCAUCGGCUCAUAAUCUUCAACCGGCUGUUGAGCAAGAUAGUCUGACAGAAUACUCCCCUUGAUGGCUUUCUGGGAAGUAUACUGGAUGUCGUACUCUGUCAGUACCAUUUGCCAACGAGCAACUCUUCCGGUGAGAGCUGGCUUCUCAAAUAUAUACUUGACUGGAUCCAUUUUGGAGAUCAGUAAGGUUGUGUGAGACAGCAUGUAUUGUCUCAAUCGCUUCGCAGCCCAUGCAAGUGCACAACAUGUUUUUUCAAGCAUUGAGUAUCUCGACUCGCAAUCUGUGAAUUUCUUACUCAGGUAGUAGAUGGCAUGCUCUUUCCUACCUGUCUCGUCGUGUUGACCGAGAACACAACCCAUGGAAUUGUCUAGUACUGUCAAAUACAUAAUCAGCGGUCUCCCUGGGACCGGAGGCACAAGGAUAGGAGGAUUCUGCAAAUACUCUUUUAUCUUCUCGAACGCCCUUUGACAAUCAUCAUUCCACCUGAUAGCCUGAUCUUUUCUCAACAAUUUGAAUAUUGGCUCACACGUGGCUGUUAGGUGAGAGAUGAACCUUGCAAUGUAGUUCAACCUCCCUAAGAAACCACAGACUUGUUUCUCUGUUCUUGGCUCAGGCAUUUCCUGUAUCGCUUUCACUUUGGCCGGAUCCACCUCAAUCCCUUUUCCGCUAACAACAAAACCCAGUAGUUUUCCAGAUCUCACCCCAAAAGUACACUUGUUCGGAUUAAGCCUCAGCUUGAAUUUCCUCAAACGCUCAAACAGUUUCUGCAAAUUCACCAAAUGUUCUUCUUCUGUCUGAGAUUUGGCAAUCAUAUCAUCAACAUAAACCUCGAUUUCAUGAUGAAUCAUAUCAUGGAACAGAGUCACCAUCGCUCGUUGAUAUGUUGCUCCGACAUUUUUCAGACCAAACGGCAUCACCUUGUAGCAGAAGGUGCCCCAUGGGGUUAUGAAUGUUGUCUUCUCCAUGUCUUCUGGUGCCAUCUUAAUUUGAUUAUAGCCAGAAAAGCCAUCCAUGAAGGAGAAUACCGAGAACUGAGCCGUGUUAUCCACCAAAACGUCAAUGUGAGGUAAGGGGAAAUCAUCUUUAGGACUAGCCCUGUUCAGAUCCCGGUAGUCAACACACAUCCGUACCUUUCCAUCCUUCUUAGGUACUGGAACGAUAUUUGCAACCCAUGGCGGAUAAUUUGUGACUGCUAGAAACCCUGCAUCCAACUGUUUUUGCACUUCUUCCUUUAUCUUGACAGCCAUCUCUGGUCUUGUUCUUCUGAGCUUCUGCUUGACCGGAGGACAACCUUCUUUGAGCGGCAAGCGAUGUACCACGAUGUCUGUGUCAAGCCCUGGCAUGUCCUGAUAAGACCAAGCGAAGAUGUCAACAUACUCUUGCAGCAAUUCAAUCAACCCCUUCUUCACAUUGUCUUCCAAAGCAGCCCCUAUCUUGAUUUCUCUCUUGGCGUCCUCGGUGCCGAGAUUAAUCACUUCAACAGACUCUUGAUGCGGUUGAAUGACCCUUUCCUCUUGUUUUAAUAACCUGGUAAGUUCUUCAGGGAGUUCACAGUCUUCAUCACCCUCUUCUUCAGCUUGAAAGAUUGGAUUUUCAAAGUCGAAGCGAGCCAUAGCAGAACCGUUAUCAAUAGGAUCCGGUGAUGUGCAUCUGCAUGAGUGAUGGUAUGUGCUUAUGAGUGUGAAAAAAAAAUGGAAACUAAACAAAACAUUGCCAUUUUUUUUUGAAAAACUGCAAAAAUAGAAAGACAGGGAACGAAAUAUUUGAAUGCAAAAAGACGUCCUUUAUUUAUGAUAAAAAAUGCAAGUGUCACAUAGAUGAGCCCUACAAUGAGUCAUUACGCCCUGGGCGGAACGUAAGACUUGGAUAUGCAUGAAUAAACAAAGAAAAUUACUCCUCCAGACAAGUGGCUUGGACAAUCUCCUCAGAAGACCAAUUGUUGAGAACUUCACCCGGGAUCCUCGGACGCACCCAGUUAUCGAUGUCGCAAUCACUAUCCCCAUCUUCAUUGUUGACCGCAGAGACUAAUUUGACUUCUCCUUCAACCAUGUUAACGUUGGCUCCACCAUGCUGGGGCAUGGGAUUGUUGACGACAUUAGGAGCUGGUGCAAAGUUAACGGCCUUUGAAUCAAUGAGGUCCUGAACUACGUGCUUAAAAGCUUUGCAGUUCUCAAUAUUGUGGCCAGGUGCCCCAGAGUGGAAGCUACACCUAGCGUUGGCGUCAUAACCCACCGGAAGCCUACCAACGGGAGGAGCCAGAGUGCGCAACUGCACAAGUUGUAGUUGUUGAAGACUAGAAAGCAACUGAGCGUACGACAUUGGAAGAGUGUCGAAACGCCGGUCCAUCGUCCUUGGCCUCGGUUGAUAGGCGGGUCUGUUACCCGGUUGUUGUGGUUGGUACUGAGCUGGUUGACGUUGUGGUUGUUGUUGUUGUAGUGGUGCUGCAGCUGGAAUGGUCACAGCCGCAACAUACGGUUGCUGAUGAUAGUUCUGAAAGUUAUUCCUCCGGUUAUCCCUGUUCUGAUAAGAAGAUAUGGCACUUGCAUCCCCUUCUCUCCUCUUCUGUCCCUGAAUGAACGGCUUCUUCACCCCUGAUGAGGAUCCAUCUCCACUCUGGGUCUUGUAUGUCCUCAGGUAAUUCUCCACCCUCUCUCCGGUAGAGACUACAUCAGCAAAAUUGGAGGCAUUGCAACCCACCAGGCGCUCCAAAUAAGGUCCUGGCAGAGUGUUCAUGAACAUGUUAGCCAUUUCCUUCUCCAACAUAGGAGGUUGAACACGGGAAGCUGUUUCUCUCCAGCGUUGAGCGUAUUCUCUGAAGCACUCAUUGCUUUUAAGAGACAGAUUUUGAAGUUGAGUUCUGUCCGGAGCCAUGUCUGCAUUAUACUGAUACUGCUUCACGAAAGCCUCAGCCAAAUCCCUCCAGCAACGGAUGUGGGCUCUGUCCAGCCUCAUAUACCAUUCCAGGGAUGCCCCAGCUAGGCUGUCCUGGAAAAAGUACAUAAGCAACUUUUCGUCAUCGGAGUAUGCAACCAUUUUACGGAAAUAGGCUUGCACAUGGGUCUUCGGGCAAGAGUUGCCAUUGUAUUUGUCAAAUAUCGGGACCUUGAAUUUCGGUGGCACUCUCACACCUGGGACCAGCCCCAAGUCAGCAACAUCUACUCCCAGAGGAUUCUGUGCUUCCACUGCCUUCAACCUCUCUUCCAAUCUUCAAAACAUGGGGUCCACACCAUGACCCAUACCAAAGUCUUCCUGCAGCAGGGGGAACUGAUCGUCCUGAUCAUCAUGAACGGGUUGUUGACCGGAGAUGACAUGUAGGAUUGAGAUAGGCCCCGGUCCAUUGGGUCCAUUAGCCUCUCCAGCUGGAGGAUCAGUCGCCGUCUCUGGUUGAGCAGGGGGGUUCCUCUGUAUCAUCUGCCUGAGCUCUUGUUGUCCCUGAGCCACCCCUUGAACCACAUCCAUGAAUUGAUUCAUGCGGAUUUUCAUCUCGACGAACUCUUCCUAUAGGCUCUCCAUUACUCUCUGUUGGUUUCUGCGGGUACCGUACCGGUGAAUGCCUGGGUCAGUUAUCCUGCUGAUGGAACACCAAACAAACUGAGAACACUGUGGCGGUACCUGUUAUGCAAGACAUGCUAAUGAAGAUGUAAAUGCAAUGACAUGUUUAUCAAUUCCAAAGGUAUUCUACCCCCUUUAUCCCAGCCUCUCAAUAGAUAAACGAUGUAAAAAAAAAGACUAAGCCGUUGAUGAGAACCAAGAAAAUUCCGACUAGAAUCAAGUAGAAGAUAUAAACCCCACAGAAAUAGAUAAACAUGUGUGAAUGAUUAUGAAUGCAAAAUGAUGUGAUGCAAAAUGAUGUGAAUGCAGUGCAGUGGCAUGGGAAUCAGGAUCGCUGUAUCUGCUUGAACAUCUGUCAGGUUGCACUGUCUGGAGAGAAAUUAAGAGCACACCAAACAAAGGUCAUGGGAUGGAUCAUGUUAUCCUUAAUAUCAACCACCCAUUUUGGUGGAUUAUGGUUUACACCUUAUCAACACCCAAGUUUCAUUGAUAUUAAGGAUACCUGAUCGGAUCAACCAUGAAUCAAGGGUUUGUUGCAAGUCACGAGCAUGGAGUUUAGGUUAAGAACCACCCAAAAGGAGUGUACUAAGGUUUAAACCUGCCAAACAUGUUCUACAAAAGGUUCCCAUAGUCAUAAUCCCAUCUUUCGGAUAUUAUCGGAGGAACGACUACUCGUAUUCCAAAAAUAUUCUCAAGAGAGACUCUUAUGAGUGUAGUAUCGCGUAACAAUCGUAUCAAAUCUUACACUUGAACGACUUUCGCACUACGUCCUACGAAUAGGCCAAGAUGGGUUUGGUAAACUAAGGUCCUUGGCUUCUAAGGUCUAUAUUGGAAAAAGUAAUGUCUAACCACAACUUACUUGUGUGACAUUAUUGAUCUCAACAUGACCUCCACCAAGUGAAUGGGCUUGCAAGUCAACUUGCUAAGGAAUAACUCCACACAAGUCGACAAGACUAUGCCAUUCUCCUAUCCUAAGUGCACUCGAGUUCGGGUAUAGAACUCAUCUCACAAAGAUCACCAAGCAGCCAUAGCCAGCCAACAGAUACAACAAUGAUAUGUACACAAUGCAAUAAGGUAAAGCAGGUAAAUAAAUAAAUGUACAAAAGCAUGAACACCCAAUAAACAAACAAACUACAAAAGCUAGGAGGGACUCGCUUAGGGAAACCGAGUCCCCAGCAGAGUCGCCAGCUGUCGCAACCUGAAAAAUACAGUGCGCGAAAAAACAACCGGCGAAAGAAAAUGACAGAAGAGUCGCCACCGUGCGUUAUUCAUCCCAAAGGAGGGAAAGGAAACGCUCGAAGUAAACCUGAAAAAGGAAAGGACAAGACGGGGUCUCGCAACCAAAUCUUGGGUUCGGGAGUCGGUUAUGCGAAGGGAAGGUAUUAGCACCCCUACGCAUCCGUAGUACUCUACGGGAUCCACUUUUGUAGUUCUUGUCUAAAGGGUGUGGGUUUAUCUUGUGCUGUUUGCCAAAAAAAAAGGGUUAAAUGAAAAUGACUCGCGCGGAUGUCGCAUCCACUGCAUACGUAUCUCAUCUGAAUAUGAGAAUCAGAGUCUUCGUAGCUCGGCUACCUAUGGGUUAAAGAGAAGUGUGCUCGCUAAGACAUCGCGUCUUAUGCCUACGUAUCUCAUCUGGAAUGAGAAUCAGAGCAAGCCGUAGUUCGGCUAACUACGGGGUUAUGGAUUGGGUUUUGGACGAACGACGUUACUACGCAAUCUACCGGAUGCUCGACCUUUGGAGACUUACUCGCCUGUAGUAGAAGGAGUAAACGUGUGUUAUGGAGAAGAAAAAUCAAUGAAGGGUUUGUUUGCAUUGUAGGAACGCGCAUGCAAAAGGGUAAUGAGGAUAAGACCUCAUAGCUCUUAACCCUGGACAAAGGAACCUGCAUAAAGUAAACACAAAAACAUUGCCUCCUAUCGAGGUCUUCCAGCUAGGAAAGCAGUAAAAUGCGGGAAAAAUGUAAAAGGUACCACACGGAUGAAGAUCCGAGGUAACAACAAUUAAAGGAACGAUAAACCCUGAGAUCCCUCCAAGCUAAACACCAUCAAAGAAAGCGAGUCAGUACAGGUAAUCGAAAUGAAACCUCCAGGCGGUAUCCCACAAAUAAAGUGGAAAACCAUGCAAGUUAUCCCUGCAAAAGUCAUGUGAGCCCUCACAAAAAACUCAACAAACAGGUUAGAGACAAAAAAAUAGGGUAAUCAAGGGUUUCCCCCAAAUCAAAAUGUAACCACAUGAAUCAUGCCAUUAAAAUUCACAAAAAAGACAUGCAUCAAAAGGGUAUCAAAUUCACCCAUAAUACCUCAAACAUUCAGAGCAUUCAAAUUAAAGGCAUAAAGAUGAUGGGUAUAGGGCAAACCUGAUUGGAGAGCUUGAUUGAAAUUGAGUUGCACCCGUGAGGUUUACAAAACAAUCUUUAGGAUUUAUGUGAGGCAAAGGUGAUUAUGUGCAGUUGAGUUCCCUUCAGGGUUUGGAGGUUGCUCUGAGUUCUCUGUCAGGUACUCUCUCUCUAGGUUUUGUCCAGGUUUUUGUUCCAAGGAAACCUCAGAGUGUUUUGCUUCUCUUCCUUUUUCUCUCUCCUUUGUUUUAAUGAACUCUAGUAUUUAUAGGCUAAUAUUGGUAGCUUAGUGGGCUUUUGAGAGAGGUCCAAGUUUGAGAUUUUUUCUUUUAUUUAUUUAUUAAAUUUUUUUUAUUUUUUUUUUUGAAAAAAUAUUCCGAUUGCCAUGAUGAAAUGCAAAUGCUAAAUGACCUAAAAAUGAAUGCAUGCAUAAGGUGUAAAGCGUAUGCUUCCAGGAAAAAUGAAGGGUAAAUUUUGGGGUAUUACAACGACACUUUGAAUCGCCACUUAAAACCGACAGUGGGGAUUGGGUCAAUAGGUUCAGACAUGACUUGACAAUGUUGGGGAAUAUCAAAACAUAUGACAGUAGGUUCAAACAUGACCUGAAAAUAUUGGAGAAUCCAGAGAGAGUAUAUAAAUAGGUUCAUACAUGAUCUGGUGACAACUUAAACAUUCUUGACAAAACCUGGAGAUUUCUCACAAGAAAAUCACCCGAUCAAUUUUUUUUGGAAAAUACUGUCACUGAAAGAGUCAAAACGAUAACUUUAUAGGAAGUCAGAGUCAACAGGAUAGAAAAACUCUCUGUAGGUGCCAACCACAAUUGGACUUAUACCAUAAACAUAUGGUACAACUCUCUUCAAACAGAUUAGUGUCAGUUACAACUAGACUUCAAGGCUGCUGGUGACGACCAGACUUAAAGAUACCAUUUACAGAUGGAUUUGACAAAUGCUGGUGACAACCAGACUUUAAAAUGAUACCAGUUACAACUGGAUUUGACGGAUGCUGGUGAAAACCAGACUUUAAAAGGAUACCAGUUACAACUGGAUUUGGAAAUGUGCGCCAGUUACAACUGGACCUAACAGAUAAUGCCAACAACAAUUGGACUUGCAAACAAAUAUGGUGAUAACCAGACUUAUCAUACCAUUUACGCAUGGAUUUUAAGACAGUUCCGGUUACAACUGUGAUUGGGGAUACCAAUUACAAAUGGAUUUAAGAUAAGAUGCUGGUGACAACCAGAUUUUAAAGAGUCACCAGUUACAACUAGAUUUUAACAUUUGAGCGCCAAUUACAACUGGACUUAACAAAUAAUGCCAAUAACAAUUGGACUUGCAAACAAAUGAUGGUUACAACCAGACCUAUAAGUACCAAUUACCAUUGGAUUUUGAAAACAAGAUGCUAGUUACAACUGGACUUGAGAGGUAAUGCCAAUAACAAUUGGACUUACAAACAAUGUUGGUUACAACCAGACUUCAAAAAGGUACCAAUUACAACUGGAUUUGGAAACAGGACGCCGAUUAUAAUUGGUCUUGACAAAAGAUGUUGGUGACAACCAGAUUUAACAAACGACGCCAAUAACAACUGGUGUUAGAGGUCACGGGAUCAAAUCAACAACGAGACCCGAGAUUACGCAAAUGAGCACGAAGUAUACUUCGGGCUAUGCAUGACUUUUAUUUUGCUUAUAUGCAUGAUAUAUGAAUGAACAUGAAAUGCAAAUGCUGACAAUAUGCAGACUGAAAGUUUAGAGAAGGCUUUAUGGAGGUACUGAAUCCUCAACACCAAUAACUCAACCAAAGGAGUGAGUAAAUGUAUCAAAGGAGGAUAUAUCAAGCUGAACAGUUACAACUGGCCCAAUAAUCCUUUCAGAGAAUGAUAAAUUUAUGCUCUCUGGAGAUAUAUGUUGAUCAUCCAAGAGAAGUCUUGCAACUUGAGACUUGUGGAGAAAGACGAAAGGUUUCCUUUUAAUAUUUCCACAUGUCAAAGCAAAAUUGUGUUUCUCAAUAUGUUGAAAAAUUCUUUUUGAGUUCAAAAUUUCACUAUUAACAAAUAAAUGGCAUUUUGUAUAACAAAGAAAAUCUGAGAAAAACAACAAAUGAUAGAAUUUGAUAGGCAAUCUUGUAUUUAUUCAAGAAUGGCAGCACACAAAUGGUGUAGCUCCAUGGAAUGUUACACAUCUGAAAAUGGCAAUAGGGAAAGGUUUACAUCAAAUCACAAUGAUUACUACUAUCCCUAAUAACAAUGACUCCACAAAACCUCGCUUUUGAAGGGAGCAGUUGGAUUGAUCUUCCACCUUUAGCUCUUCUGUGUUGAUCAGUGACAACUGAUGCAGUCUAUGCCUUUUGUCCCUAAUUUUUGCCUGGAUCUCCCUUUCGGGUUUUCAAUCCACCGGGACGCUCCUUUUUACCUAAGUCGCUCUUUCAGGUUUUCAACUUAGCGAGCUACAAUUUUUUUUAAUUAUCCCUAACUUUUGCCUUGACUGCCCUUUUGGAUUUUAAGUCCACCGGGUUUUGUUAGGCAUAGUAUCUUUUGAAUGCAUCAGAGUUCACAGGAUGAAUGAGCUCUUCGCCAUCCAUGGUUGUGAGAAACAAAGCACCUCCAGAGUAUGCUCUCUUUACAACGUAUGGGCCUUCAUAGUUGGGAGUCCACUUCCCACGCAAAUCUUUGUGUACCGACAGGAUCUUCUUGAGCACGAGAUCCCCUUCCUUGAACUCUCGAGGGAGAACCUUCUUGUCAAACGCUUUCUUGAUUCUUUGCUGGUACAAUUAUCCAUGGCACAAAACGGUCAUACGCUUCUCAUCAAUGAGGUUAAGUUGAUCAUAAUUAUUCUGGAUCCAUUCAGCUUCAUCUAGCUUGGCCUCCAUCAAUAUUCUCAUUGAAGGUAUCUCUACUUCGACUGGGAGAACUGCUUCCAUACCAUAGACCAAGGAGAAUGGGGUUGCCCCUGUUGAAGUGCGGACUGAGGUCUGGUAUCUAUUCAAAGCAAAGGGUAGCAUCUCGUGCCAAUCCUUAUAAGUUUUCACCAUCUUUUGCAGGAUCUUCUUGAUAUUUUUGUUGGCGGCUUCAACAACACUAUUCAUCUUGGGACGAUAUGGAGAAGAGUUAUGAUGGUCAAUCUUGAAACUCUCACAUAAUUCUGUCAUUGUCUUGUUUGAAACUCUCACAUAAUACUGGUAUGAACUUCCGACAUUUUGGUUGUGAAUUCAAACAGUCACUAAUGUCUGACGCAAUCUGCUUGAUUGUCUUAAAGAUAUGAAGGGAGUCUUCCCCUUGCAACCUGCCUUGUCCCAGUAUGUAGGGUGUUCAAAGGAAUUCUCCUUGAAAGGAAACCCUUAGGAGUGAUUAUCGUAUGACAUGGUCUGAGUCUGUUUCCUCCAACGUCUGACUCUUGCAAUGGUCUGCCCCUGAUUAGCCUUUGAAAGACCUGUCUUAGACGGACUGAGUAUUGAAGUGAUUUUCCUCCCUGAUCAACCGAUGCUUGGAGAUUUGUCUUACACUGACUACUUCUUAAGUCAUCAUAAUCAAAAGGUGCCAUGCCCCUGAUCCAUAGGAUUAUGAGAUGGUCUUGAUUCAUGUCAGCACCAACGAUCAAGUGCCUCUUGAAUUGCCCCUUGUUGGAAUUUCCUUGAUGCCAAGUAUUGACUUGCAAUUAAAAAUUGUUCAUUCAGGAAAUGGUGAUUUUAAUGCAAUAGUUAUGCAUGUUUUGAAAAACAAUCAUUCACUUGGGAGUGUUAUGGUAGUGUGUGACGAGUGGACCAUGAGUCCAAACGCGGUGUUGAUUUUAGCUAGUGUGUGAGUGAUAUAGUGAGAAUAGAAUAUUAGCAAAUCUCUAGAAGUCAGUUUACUCAACCUUGUUAUAGUAUGCUUUCAGAAUAAACCUUACUUCAAUUAGGUCUUUUGAGGGUUGUAACGUGGCUUGGUUCACGGUUAUUGAAACGAAAGGAUAUAAGGCUCAAAGUUUAUUUUAACCCACCCUUUCUUCAUGAUGAUCUCCAAUCCUACGUUCAGUUAAUUCAACACACACUUCACUUUUACGAGAGUUCAGCAAUGUAAGAUCUAUUGAAAUGACAGUCAUCCUAUUUUGCUCUUCAUGUCUAUUGGUGACCCUUUGAUUUUGGUAUGAUGGUCACGGAUUCUUGUUUUGUUUUGUGAAGGACUUUCAUUGUCUCUUUCGAUUUUUGUUUUGAUCCCUAACUUUUGCAUGGACCGCUUGUUGAAGCUUUAAUCCAUCGGGACUGCCCCAGUUUUUGCCUAAGUCUCUUUUUAGGAUGUUGGACUUAGCGGGCUCUUUCUUUGAUUUUUUUGAAAAAUUGUGACUGCCAAGUCAUUGGUCAUUGAAGAACAACCGACAUAAAUUUUGGAUUUUGUAUGGUUCCUUCGACACUUCAGGAUGUGUAGAAGAAUAUCAUGUGGCUGAUCUUCACAUGGGAUAUUUCACUUUUGUAAUUCGAAUGCGUAGUCAGAUCAACUGAACACUACCCUGCCCCAGAUUAAGCGUAAGGGUUUUGUAGAUCCGAAAGAAACUCCUACUUCUAGGCUCGAAGUGGUUGACUAGGGAUUAACUCCUUAUAUCUCCAGUGUUUGGGGAUUUGAAAUAAUGCAUGUACAUCAUUAGUAGGAUUUUAUCCAAAAGCAUACAAUCAGCAAUUAUGGGUAUUUCGUUUUCGUCAUCCUCCUUCCAAUAUUUACUAACAACAAUGUAAUAAAGAAGGUGAAGUGGAAAAGUAUGUGUUUGUGCUUUGCAAAUGCGAUAUAUGAGUGAAUAUGAAAGAUUGAUUCAAAGCAUGCAUAAUCAUCACAUUAAUAAGACCAAAUAUAAAUAACAAUGUUUAAAGCAUACAAUACCUAGACAAACAAGAACAAAUUACAAGAACGCGAAAUGCUAAAAAUGGAAUAAUGAUUGCCUUCAUUCAAAGCAACGGGACUUCAUCUCUUGAUUCUUUGUUUGGGAGUUGUUCUGCUUUUUCAGGUCAGUGAGAAGCUUUAUCUUCGAGCUUCACUCUGCUCCGCAUGCGCCGACAUGGGGUUUGUUGCAACAUUUGGCCUAACUGGCGUGAAAGUAACUACCUUACUGUCAAUCAGGUCCUGGACCUUGUGCUUGAAGGCCUUGCAAUUUUAUACUGUGUGCUCUAAGGCACCCAUAUGAUACUCGCAGUGAGCAUUGGAGCGGUAGCCUGGUGGAUAGGGCGGGGUUGCAGGUGUUAGCUCCUUCAAAACAAUUGAUCCAUCCUUUAGUAGGUAGGGAAGGAUUUUGCUGUAUGGUACUGCCAAUGGAUCAAAAUGUCUUUCUGGCCUCCUUGCCCUCUGCUGAUUAGGUUGACGUUGUUGUGGAGCACGUUGUUGUUAAUUCUGAUGUGGCUGCUGGUAAGCUGGCCGUUGAUACAGCUGCUGAUAUGGUUGUUGAUAUGGUUGUUGAUAGGGUGGCUGAUAUGGUGUUGGGAUGACAGCGCCAACCUGAUGGUAAGGUACAGGAACAUAAGGAUGUGCCCUAUAUCCCCCUCCCGUUAUGGCAUUGGUCUGACCUUCUGGCUUCUUUGGGAGAUUGGGAUAGAGUUUCUUCAUCCCACCGGAGACAUUGGCGGCGCAAGGUAGCUUUCCUUUCCUGAUCUGGCUUUCAAUUCGUUCUCCCACAGAGACAACCUCAGCAAAAGUUGGAAAACUGGAUCCUACCAUUUUCUCCAUGUACUGGGUGUGCAGAGUUCCCAUAAACAUAUCGAUUAAUUCCUUAUCAAGGAGAAGAGGUUGGACACGAGCUGCAAUCUCUCUCCACCGUUGUGCGUAUUCCUUGAAUGACUCAUUGUUGCGUUGAGUCAUGUCUUGCAGCUGGGUGCGAUUGGGUGAUAUAUCGGUGUUGUAUUGAUAAUGCCUAAGGAAGGCUUCAACGAGGUCUCUCCAUGACUGAACCUGUCCUCUCUCUAACUGCAUAUACCACUCCAAAGAUGCCCCACUGAGGCUAUCUUGGAAGUAAUGAAUCAGGAGUUGAUCAUUGCUGAUGUGGGCAGCCAUCUUGCGACAGUAAGCUCUGAGAUGAGUUCUAGGGCAGCUGAUCCCUUUGUAUUUAUCAAAGUCCGGGACUUUGAAUUUCUGCGGAAUCAUCAAUCCUGGCACCAGGCACAUAUCGACAGCGUCCAAACCGGGAGUAUUGUGAACCUCCAAGGACUUAAAUUUCUCUUUCAAAGCAUGGAGUCUCUCAAUAGCUGGGUCUAGGAGACCUCCGACAAUAGGUUUGGCGGGUUGUGGCAUGAAGAAAGCAUCAUACUGAUCUUCAUCACCCAUCAUGGAUCCCUGUCGAGCAGAUGCAGCAGAAUGUUCAUGAGGGUUCACAUUGUCCACUGGAAUAGGAAUAGGGAUCGGUCCUCCUCUUGGAUGGGCAGGGUUACCAUCAAGGUUAGUUACUCCAGGGAUGCUAAGCGAUGGCGAUCCAAACUGAGCAGUAACUCUUCUGGCUUCGGCGUUAGUCUCAGCAUCCUUCUCCUUCUGGGAUAAGAGUAACAUAGUCUCGAGCAAACGAUCCAUCUUCGUCUGCAUGGAGUCAAUGUAUGUUCUCAUCGAAACCUGGUUUGCUUCAAGCUGUUCGAGUGUCAUCUUGUAGUUGCGGUGUGUCCCGUACCGGUGUCGAGUAGUCAGCGUUACUGGACAAAGGGUAGAAUAUGGUGUAAGUUUUUGUUUCUGGACAAUGGUAUGCAAUGCAUGUUGAUGACAUGCAAAUGCAUGAAAUUUUGCCAUGUUUUUCGCAAAGGAAUACAAAUACUCAAAAUCAAUCACACGUCGUGUACAUUAGGAUAAAAGGAUGAAGCCCGGGUUUCUUGAUUACUAAACAUUCCCAAAGGUAGGUUCUAAAGUUAUGUUUUCAAGGAAGGAACUUAGACUCACGGAUCAUGUUCAAAACUUCCUCGCAAUAAUGGGUUGGCCACAUCGUGAUGGGAGUUUCGCACUGAUCUAAUCUAAGUGGGAUUCUCGUAUGUUCGAACAGGGUGUAGACCCUUCAGUUCAAUACUACAUAAUCAUUAAUCAUGAAAACGAAACCUGGGUUUAAGGCGAGGUUCCUAGAGUCACAGAUCGUAUUUAAAAUUUCCCCACAAUAAUGGGCUAUCCAUAUUGUGACGGAGAUUCCAAACAGAUCUACUGUAAGUGGAGUCUUCGUAUUGUCCCAAUGAGGUGUACACCCCUUGGUUCAAUACUACACAACUCCGGGUUCUAAGUUCUUCUCGAAGCUUGGGUAUGAAGCUUAUGUCACAGCAAACAUCAAGUCCCAUAUCAAAGUCUCAACACACAUUACAUACAAGCAACAUAAUAAGAUACAGAGAAGCAAUACGGAAGAACGAAAUAUUAUUUUAACAUUCAUUGCAAUCUAGACUAAAUUAGGCUAGACUCUCUCUUGCUUGGAGCGGGUCCCCAGCAGAGUCGCCAUCUGUCGCACCUCAAAAAAUAAUGCGAUCCCUCGCGAUGGACACAGAAAAAUUUAGUUCGAACAGAGUCACCAUCGAACUUUAUUCAUUCAAAUGAAGGAAUAGGAAAAUAUUGAUAAAACCUUUCAAAAAUAGAAUAAUGGUCGUCGCAACCAUAUUCGGGUUCGGGAGUCGAUUACACAAGGGGAAGGUAUUAGCACCCCUCACGUCCGUUGUACUCAACGGAAACCUUUUAGUCUGAUUUGCUAUUUGAAUGUUAGUUGACUUUUAUUCGCUUUCUUUGAGUAAUUUAAAAUUGAUAAUAGAGACGGGUGAAGACCUCAGAAGGAAAAAGGGGAGGUUUUUUAUUAGUGUGCUCACGAAGAUACAGCAAUCUCCUGCCUACGUAUCCUUAUGGUGCAAUAAGGAAAUCAGAGCAUUCGUAGUUCGGGGUUUACGAUUGGUUGGUGUUUUUUAAUAAACGACUGUGUAGAUCACAUUCUAAAGGCUAAACGUUGGCUUGUCUACUCUCGGAGAAGGCUUAACCACUAGUCUGUUAUGCGCAUUGGAAAGGAUUAACAGUGUUCUUUUCGAAAAGAUUUUUGGUCACGCGGGGGUGACAAGUUGAGUUAAUAUGUUUGAUGUUUUUGUUUGGUUGAUUGUGAUUGCACGGGGCGAGAAGUUAGGUUUGAUAUGUUUAAGAUAUUUUUGAAGAACCACGAAAGAUUGAGCAAUGCGGUGCACACCAAUCGUUUAAUUCUUUCGGGGAAUAAUAAGGCGGACGCCUUCUACUCCUUUUUUCGUUUGAAUUAUUUUUGAAAGUUUGUUUGCGGAUGUCGAAUAUGCACGGUAACGAGGCGUGCGCCUCCCACCUGUUUAUUCAAGGAAUAAUAAGGCGUGCGUCAUUCAUUCCUUUAUCCAAGUUUAUUUAAAGUAUUUUAAUCAGAAGUCGAAAGAAAAUCGAGCAAUAGGGCAAGCGCCAAUCGAUCAAUUAUUCAAGAGAUGGUGAGGUGAAUGCCUCCCAUCCUUUAUCAUCCGGUAUUUAAUUUAUAAAAAGAAAUGUUCUCAGAUAUUGUAUUAAUUUGGGAAACUAAUUUGAAUUUUGAAUUGGUAGGUUUUGAUCGAAAGUCGAUGACUUGAGCAAUGUGGCGUGCGCCACUCGUUCAAAUAAUCAAAGGAUGGUGAGGUGAACGCCUCCCAUUCGUUCAAUUGAAGUUUAAGUUUAAAGUUUAUUUUGUGAAAUUGUGUUUGAUCUAAGAGGUGAUUUGAAUUUAUUCGAUUGCGUUUUAAUUUGACGACGAGAAUUCGAUCAAUAUUGCGUACGCCAAUUAUUUGAAUAAUCAAAAGAUAGUAAGGCGAACGCCUCCCAUCCUUUUAUUAUCAGAAAUUUAGAAUUUAGAAUGUUUUAGAAAUUAUAUUAAUUUGGAAGAAAUGAUUUGGAUAUUAUGGUUGAAGCUUUAAUCAGAUGACAAGAAUUCAAGUAAUAUGGCGUGCGCCAAUCAUUCAAAUACUUGAGAAAUAGUGAAGCGAACGCUUCAUAUAUCUUUUUCAUCCCAUGUUUACGCUAAAAGAGGAAAUUCUUUAAAAGUUAAAUUGUUUAGAAAAUUAUUUGAAUUUGCGGAAUGGCGAGUGAAAUUAUUUACACGUGAGGUUGAUGGCGAUGCUAAAGUAAUCGACUUACAAAGGGUUUGUUUUGAAAGUGGGCUUGAUGUUAACUCAAGAAUUAUGCAAUUUUUGUUUUAGAAAUUGGUUUGGAUUGAUAAUGGAAUUGAAUUGGCUUGAAAGGAUUAUGAAUUGAUGAUGAGAUAAAUCGGUCCAUUUUUUUUACUAACAAAGUUGUUUGAUCAAAAUUUAGUUAAAUUGUCUAACUAAGGUAAUCACAAUUAAUUAUCAAAAUUAUUUGAUUUAAAAAUUAGUAUAAUCAAAUAAUUAAGCUAAUUAAAGUUAAUUAAUAAAAUCAUCCUAAUUUAAUCGAAACUUUAAUUAAUUGAUUUAUAAAAAAGAGAAAUAAACUAUAAUAUAAAAAUGUGAAAUGAUCGAAUUGAGUCAGUGUGCUCAAACCGGUUUGUGCGAAACAACAACAUGCCCAAUGUCAUUCGCAAGAUCCAAACGCGGUGAAAAUAUUCUAUUGAUAUAUUGGGUUUUUGGUGGCAUAACGACAUAUAUUGUCGAGUCCAUUGAUUAUAAAUUCUAUCAAGCAACACAAACAGAAACAUCAAUCGCAAAUAUCCUUACAAAAUUAAUACAACAUAUGGAAAUUUAUUAUUAGUAAAGCUCGGAUACACUAAGCUAGUAAAAGAACGGGCCCAUCUCUUCACCAUUCAAAUGGCCCAAAAUCUGAAUUUUAAACUCAACUCUCAAAAAAACAAUUAACCAAUAAUGCUAAAUAAAUUAAAACAACUAAACAGGGUCUCUUUUCUCCAAUUCUUCAUUUACUGGCACAAUAUCACAAGUGUUGCAAGCAUCAUAUGGUCAAUGCCUCACCAUUCGUUAUCAACACGAACCAAUAUUUCAUAACCUGUAACCAUCACUACAAUGUGGAAUAUCAAAAGCAACUCAUAAUACAACUCAUAAUAAGCUCACGCCCAACAAAUUUGGCAAACACACCCAGUCGAAAUGAAUAUCAAACAAUCAACUCAAAGUUUUCAACAUGACAACUCCAAUCUCAAUUCACCAAAAUAGCUUAAACAGAAAACAAAUCUUGAAUUUAUUCUAUACAGCACACGAACUUAAACAUUACCGAUUUUCCAAGGAUUGAUGUGGUUGCUUCCGUGCUUUAUCGCUCACGUCCUCCCGGAAAAAUUGAGACUUUCUCCCUUGUUCGCACCCAAGCAGAAAUGUCCAUGGAUUGAGCUCAAAGCUCUGUUGCACAUUGAAGUCACCAUCGGACCAUCAACAACCAAACCUAGGAAGUAUAUAAUUUUAAAACGCUUUUAAUCAUCUAGAAAAUAGCAAGGGAUGCGGUAUUGUCGUGGUUGUGAAGGUUGCUUGUGUGAUUUGGAUCGUGGCGCAUUUCGAUGGAUGACAGCGGUAUGGAGGUCACCGUUUUGACACGGACGAAGAUGGUGGUUGAAGAGGGUGAACGGAAAACGGAGGGAGUGGUCUAUGAGGUUUAGAGGAAGAGUAUUGAGAGAGGAUUUCUUGGGUUGUUGGUGGUGAGGUGCGAUUUGCCGGCGGUGAAAUGUUUUGAGCGGCGGUGGAUUAAGGUUGUGGCGGAGGCUUGGGAGAACGGGCGAUGGAGGUUAUUUUGUUGGAGGAGAGGAAACGUCGAAGAAGAGGAAGAGUUUUCUUGUUUUUAUUUCUUUUCUUUUCUUUCCAUCUUCCAUCCAGAGAGAGAGGGAGUGAGGAAUUAAUGGUGUGUGGGCAGUGAGUCCCAAGAUGAAACGUUCUUUCCUUUUUUAUCUGAGAGAGACAAACUAACGUGGCCCAUGAAUGCCCCCCCCCCCCCCCCAAUUUCUUUUUCGUCUUUUCUUUAUAUUUUCUUUUUUCGCUUUUUUAUUCCCUCAAGACCGUUGAGAGAGUGAAUGAUUCCCAUGAGUUGUCAUGUCCUUCUCUCUCUUAGUCCCAAAAAAUCCAUUAGCUGUCAUGUAUCCAAAAUAGGAGAAUCCCAUGCGCCACAUGUCACGCAACCAUUGGGUCAUUCAUGAUUUUUGUUUUAUUCAUAACCAUCUUGCAGGAGAGAGACACGUGAGGAGGAAGCAAUGAAAGAAGGGGAAGAAAAUAUUUUAUUAUUUUUUCUGAUUUAUUUAUUAACAUUAUUUAUUAAAUCUAAUUUUUGAUUGGAUAAUAGAAAUGAGUGGGGAUUGCUCACAUUGGCCAUUGAUUAAUCUUGAUCUAGCGAUCGUGGUUAAUUCAAAGAAACACACCAAGAAGCACACAUUUUUAAAAUAAAUUUAAAUACCUACAAUGCCCUUUUAGAUGAUUUAAUCGAUUUAAAACAAUUUAAAUCAAAUAAAAAUUACAAUUUCUAAAAUGAAUUUGGUAAAAAUAAAAUGAUGACAUGGAUAUUCCUAUUUAAAUUUUAUUAACACUUUAGAGAAAUAAUAAAAAUAAAACGACUGGAAAUGAAUAAAAGUCGGGCGAAAAUUUGCUCGAAAAAUUAAAUCGGACGCACUAAAAUGAUCAGCACAAAAUAUACUUAUUGAAAAAAUAUAGCGUUUCUUUAAAUUCUGAAAUAAAUUUUCAUCGAUUAAACGACUCAGGCGGGUCAAAAUGCAGCCGAACAGUCGCUGAAAAUUAUAACGAGCACACCAGGUUAAACUACGUGAACAACAUUUUAAUAAUACUGACGUCUACAAUUUUGAUUUCGAAACUUUUUAUCCUCUGAUUUUGCACGUACUUGAGGAAUAAUUUAACCGGUUUGUCUGUAUUUUCAAUAAUUUAUCCCAACUGAUAUUUUAGGUAUUAUUCAGGAUGAAAUGCAUGUCAUGUUGUGCAUAUGAUGCAAUUUGAAAAUGAAAUCAAAUUUAUGAAAAUUCUAAAAAUGCCUGGACAAAAUUGGGGUACGACAGAUGGAUGCAAUGUUUUUUGGUACAGGUUCAAAGGUCCGAGGUAUGGAUAAAUCUGAUUGCUUUCCCAAAACAGGGUUCUCACCGGUUAUGAUCUAGGCUUUGUUAUAAAGGACCCCCAGAGUCACUGAUUCGCAAGAAUGUUUGACACUUACGGAAAAUAAUUUCUGAUCGUCAACUCCAUCUAGAGAAUCUAUUCUGGGUGAGGUUCUCGUACCGAUUCUUACGAAGUAUUCACCUCGGGAGUCCGUACUAUGCAACCAUCGACUUUGAUUCUAGACAGGGUACUCAAAGUCAUGGAUUCAAAAGAAUGUUUGACGCUUACGAAAAAUACCUUCCGAUCAUCAAUUCCAUCUAGAGAAUCUAUUCUGAGUGAGGUUCUCGUACCGAUUCUUACGAAGUAUUCACUUCGGGAAUCCAUACUACGUAACCAUCAUUCCUAGUUGGCCAAAGGUUCAAUGUUCUAAAAGGUUCUUAGAGUCACGGACCCCUUUGAAAUAUUGAAGCUUACGAAGUAUUCACCUCGGGCAACAAUAUUUGCAAAAGGAUCUACUCUAAGUGAGGUUCUCAUACCGACUCUUACGAAGUAUUCACCUCGGGAGUCUGUACUACUCAACCAUCUUCCUAUCUUAUGUUUUUUUUCACUCUAGACUCGGGUGUAGAGUCUUUCCCACAUGGUUUGCAAUCAGAAUACCCAAAUACCAACAAUCACAAUGGAACCAAUAUACAACAUAUAUAUCAAUAUAACAAUAAAGAUAAUAAAAGCAAUAAAGAAAAGCCACAAAAUUAAACAAACAAAUGCACACAAGCGUCCUAACUAGGCUUGACUCACUUAGGGAACGGUAAUCCCCAACAGAGUCGCCAUCUGUCAUACCUCGAAGAAUAAUGAACACGACCUAGCGAAGCGCAAUCGCAGGCUCGCAAUGAUGGACUGAACAGAUUUGCCACCGAACUUUAUUUAUUCCUAAAAGGAAAGGGGAAAUAUCGAUAAAACCCAAGAAAGAACGACAAUGAUUAUGGUCGUCGCAACCAAAUCAGGGUUCGGGAGUCGAUUACGCAAGAGAAAGGUAUUAGAACCCCUCACGUCCGUUGUACUCAACGAGAACCAUUAGGUUAGUUGUGCGUGUUAGUGUUAGUUUAAAAUGUUAGGCUUCUCGAGUUAUUAGGUGGGAAAGAAAGAAUAGAAAAGAGAAGAAAGUUUUUGGAUUUUCAACGAAGGAGACUAAACCUAAGUUUUUUAUUAAUGGGCCUGACAAGAUUUACGAAUCCUGCUCCUACGUAUCUCCAGGUGCAAUAGAGAACUCAAGGCUUACGUAGUUCUUGGUAGAAAAUGUUUGUUUGUUGGUCGAUUUUAGCAAAAGCUACUUUAUGUUAAUCGACGAAAACAUUGUUAGACUACCUAAAACAGGUGGAGAAACAUUUCCUUGCAUUGUUUUGAAACAAAGUACCUUUUGUUUGAGAAAGGGUUUGAAGGGUCAAUCGCACGACAGCGAGAAAAGAUUUUGAUUGGUUUGAUGUGUUUUGAGUAAUGGCGAGAACUUGGAUGGGCGAGAUAUCCAUCUCGAAUCCUGGUCUCAGGAGUGCGUGAUAUCCACCAUGUUCCAUUUCCAUCUUAUUUGAAAAAGUAUUUAAUAAGAAUUAAGUGUUUUUGAAUUUGAUUGAGAAAUGGUUUGAAGAAACCGCAUUGACAAUUUUGGAUGAUGGCGAGAGCUAAAAUAAGUGAGGCAUCCACCUCGAAUCUUAAUCUCAAGAGUGCAUGGUAUCCACCACGUUCCAUUUCCAUCUUUAUUGAAAAGUGUUAAAUAAGAAUUAAGUAUUUUUUUGAGUUUUUAUUGUAAAAAUGGCUUGACGUUGGAUCAAGCAUUUGAUGAGCGGUUGAGAAAGAACUCUGAAUGAAGGUUUGAGAGGAAUAAAAUAGAUAGAUUUGGAUGAUGGCGAGAACUAAAAUAAGCGAGGCAUCCACCUCGAAUCUUAAUCUCAGGAGUGCAUGGUAUCCACCACGUUCCAUUUCCAUCUUUAUUGAAAAGGUCUUAAAUAUCGAUUAAGUUUUUUUGAGUUUUUAUUGUAUAAAUGGCUUGAUGUUGGAUCAAGCAUUUGAUGAGCGGUUGAGAAAGAACUUUAAAUGAAAUGAUUUGAAAGAAAAGGAAUAGGUAGAAAUGGAUGAAUAGAAAUGGAUGGAUUUAUUUAUUGGGAAAAUACUCGAUGUUGGAUCGAGUUUUUAUUUUUUGAUCUUUUGGAAACGGUUGAUUUUAUUCUUGUGUUAGUAGCUAGCUAAACAGUCAAGCAAAUAAAGGAAUAAAACAGUAAAACUAUUAAACAUCAUGGGAGUGGGGGUACAUUUUUAUCGAAUGGGGAUUCAAAGUAAUGAAAUAAUUAAAUCGGGCCCAACCAAAAAGCAAUGCAGUGUAUGAGUGUGGGUGUAAGAGAACCGUCUCAUUGUAAGAAAACCCAAGAGUAAGUUGUGUGAGGUUGACGGCGAUGCUUAAAGGCAAUCGACUUACAAGGGUGUGGAGAUGGGGAAAUUACAACUAAGUACUGUGCUCAAAACCGGUUUAUGUAUCAUGUCAACAUUGAAUGAUCAUGUGCGACCAACCGAAACGCGGCGAAAUUCUAUUGUUAUCUCGAUGAAAUAAUCAUGGAUAAACAACAUAAGAGCGGUUGAAUCCAUAAAUUAAAAUCGAUGCUUUGUCAAUUAAAAUAAAUAAAAUGUGUAAACAUUAAAAACAAUGAGUAUCGGAGAAAUUAUAAUAAAACAUGAACAUGGGAGGAUUAAAAAGAAUAACGUAAAAAAGAAAUUAAAAUGUUGCAAAACCAAAUAUGCCACACAUGGGUAUCGAACCCAGGACUAAGAGGGAGAUUAACUAUCUCCAUCUCCACCCGGCCAUGAGUUACCAAUUGUCAAACCAGGACCAACAAAAACCUAAAUACUAAGUUGAAACUUCGAAAGAGAAAAAAACAAACAAAAAGGCCAACUAAUGGGCCGUUGGAGUAAGUUGGACCAAAGCCCACGAUAAUGGCCAUAUCACGAAAAUAGAACAGGUCAAGAGUCCAACGGUCACCCUAGCCGCAUGGCUGUUGGGUGACGGAAACCGAAGAUCCUUCUCACUAUAAUGCCAAAUGUCGGCAUUAAUGAGUGGUGGUUGUAAUAGAGAGCCACGCAAGUCCCAACGGUAAAGCCAACGGUCAAAAAAAUCAUUUCAAAAAUGGAAAUAAUUAAAAUGCAAAGGGAAAUGUUUAAAGAGGCAUUAGUGCAUUAAUGACCUAGUGUCAGCUUCCAAGGCAAGUUUCUUCUCCCAAAAAUAUUCUUAUUGUUUUAAACACCAAUUAAAGGGACGUUACUGUGGUUUAUUGAAACAAAAAUGUCCAAACCGAGAAAAAAACUUCUCCUCUCCCAAGCCAUGGCGGACGGUCAAGGAGAAAACCAAACACGUGACGAAAAACGCCACAACCUCAAGCAACACAGUAGGGAGAAAGACAAUGAAGAACAAAACAAAGAGAAAGACGAAAAGAUAUCAAACCAAAGCAACCUAAGUUCUCGUUCGCACCUAGAUCGUGUAUCCGAAGCGAUAAUGCAAUGAGAAAUUUACCUGAUCAACGGCGAUUGGAAAAGUGAUGUUGAAUCCUUCCUUCAAAUGCUCUUUCUCCCGUUGAUUCAACUCCGGUGCGCUCACUCGUCUGCUUUGCCUUCGGAAUAAGCUUUAGUCCAAACGGCGGCGAGAUGAAGCUCUAAGUUUCUCUCCAAAGAACGCCGCCUCCAGGUUCUUUAGACUCUCCUUCGUUUGAAUUUAUUUAGGGUUUUUUUUCUUAUCUCUGUUAACAUAUCCUUUUUCUUUAUGUAGUCCCGUUCUGAUUGUGAGAGGCCUCCCAAAAUUCUCUCUGUGGUCCCUCUCUUCUGUCCUUUUCACCGUUGGGGACGGCAUUACCUUUGGGAGUGUUGGUGAGUGUUCGUACGGACACUCUGGGACCUUUUGUCCUCAUCCAAACUUGUGACUCCUCCUCUACUCCUUAUUUUACCCUUUUACUGCUUGGUAAGAAAUUAACCACUGCUUAUGAAUUUACUCGACACACUUGAACAAAAAUGGGAUAUGUGUUUUCUUGAAUUGAUGAAAUGUGAUCAUGUUAAUUUGAUUUGUUGUUGUUGAUACUUGCAGCUUAAUGUUUCAGAUGAAGAUAUUAGUCUAUACUUUUCCAAGAUGUUGCAAUGCUACACAAGGUUAUCAUUGAUGGAGUAGGAAUCUUUAAUCUUUGCCUUGGAACAAAUUUUAUUUCAAGUGAAUUUCUUCAUUCCUCUCUUUAUUUUUUGUUGGAGAAUCUCAGUUCUUCAAGUUACCAAAAGUCAUGAGAACAAAAGUCAUGAGAUUCCACCUGAUUCUUAUCAAAUGAUAAUAGGCUCCAUGUCCUGCUUGACCAAGUGAAAUUAAUUACCCUAUACCAAGACAAAUGGCAAGGCCCAAAGGUUUAUGGAAUAGCAGGUGGUGAUAGAUCUAAACAAAAACAAAAUGGUGGAUAGAUUCAUGAUCAGAUGAAAUGGUCAUGCGGAGAAAUGUAAAUGAAUGAUUGAUUGGAAAAAAUUUCAGGACCAAAAUCAGGAUAUGAUAAUAGGGACUCAAAUAUUUCUCAUUUACAUCACAGAAAAAGCAAAAUAUAAAUAUCAUAUGAGGGCGAGAAAAUAUUUAAUUUAAAUAUAUUACAUAGAAAAACAUAUUUUGUCAGAGGUGGAGAAUUGUGUACAAUCACUACACGAAUCUGUAGAUGACAGUGUCGGCUCCGGACCACACAAAUAAAGCAUUUAUUGAAAUUUAUGCUCUGUUAUCGGAAAUUUCAAAUAUACUCAAAAAAUUUGAUAUUCCCGAAAUUUGAAAAUUUUCAGUACUUGUUGUUUGUCCACGGAAAUUUUGAGAAUUUUCGAUAUUGUAUACCGUAUUUUUUAAAAUUUCCAGAAUUUUCCAAAUUUCCGGUAUAUGAAUGCGAAAAACUGAGUACUGGAAAUUUCAAAUUAAUUACCGGAAAUUUUGUUUUAGUAAGUUUGAAAAAGUAAAAAUUAUGGAAGAAAAGUAAAAUUUGAAGUGUAAAUAUUAACAAGGAUAUUUUAGAAAUUUUAAAAAAAAAAUAGGGGGUGUUAGGUUUAAAUGGGGUUGAUAAGAAGAAAUCUCCCAAUAUUUAAGGAUCCUUUAGAAAUAUUUCUUUAGGCCUCAAUAGAUUAAGAAGUUGACGUUUCAUUGAUUGAUUGACCAUGCACAAUUUAAAAGAAAAAAAAAUCACCUUUGUUUUUUAGAGGAAAAAGGAAGCAAUUAAGUAGAAGAAGCAAAUCUAUAUUUCCACGAUCAAUUAGUAUGUGUUAAGAGUCUUGUAUCAGAUAAUAUAUAAUCCGAACAUAUUUUUAUAAGUGAGGAUAAAUCUGACCUUACAAAAUAGUUUUGUAGAGUUGAAUUAGAUUCAAUCACAUUUUAUUUUUUGAACCGUAAGAAAUAAGAUCUAUAUUUUCUUUUCUAUUUGUUUACGUCCAUACAAAAAAUGUGCAGUAAUUGUGAAAGAUGUCAUGCACAUGCAGUCACCAUAUAUUAUUUACAUAAAAAGAACUACUCAUUCUUUCGGCCUCAAAUUUUACCUAGGAGUUAUGUAUGCAAAUAUGAAAUAUUCAUGGGCUAUUUCCGUCCAUUCUUUCUCUGGAAAUUACUCCCUAUGUUUAUAGAAUUUGAUUUUUUUUAGUAAACUCGCAUUUUAGAUGUAAAAGUAUGGCAUCUUAUCAAACAAUUGGUUGAUGAAAAUUUCACAUUUUAAAUAAUGGAACUAUGGCAUAUUAUUAAUAAGAAAUAUAUUUGAAAAAAUAGCAAUAAAUGAUAUAUUUGAAAAAAUAACAAUAAAUGUAUUAUAUCUAUAAAUUUACAAGGUUCUUAUAUUUACAUACAAACAAAUGCAGUAAUGUUUUCAAACAUUAUGCAGUAAAUGUUUUCAAACAUUAUGUAGUAAGUAAUUAACACUUUAAUUUGAAGGAUUAACCAAUUUGGUAACUGAGACAGUGUCUGCGGUUAAAGUAGCUAAUUGAAAGUUUAUUCUUCAUAAAUCUGUAAUGCAGAAUAUGUAAGAAAGAAACAUGAAGUACAAGAAGUAAAGCCAUGGUCCCCCGCCACCGAUAUCAGCUAUAAGAAUUGCAAGUUUAUUUUUCGUAAAUUUGUAAUGCAGAAUAUGUAAGGAAUAAAAUAAGCGUUUAACUCAACCCGAUGUUACAUGAUCAGAGUAAGGUACCACUAGUAAAAGCGACAAAAUAAAGAAGUAAUCCAAGAGCUACCUUCCACUUACUUCAACAAUAUUACUAUUGAGUAUCUGCACGAUGCCCAUGUAAAGGCAACAUUCAAACAGAAGGGGUGAGAAUUCAUUUCAAUAAUAACAAUAUAGAAUGAAGAAUAAAGUACAACAUCUACACAAUCAUGAACAAUAAUAUAUCACAUUCUUACAUCCAAAUCAUAAUCAACAUCAUACACGACAACAUCUCAAUUAUCAUCAACAUCAUACAAAACCACAUCUCAAUUAUCAUUAACAUCAUAUGCAACAACAUCUCAUCUUACAUCCAAAUCAUAAUCAACAUCAUACACGACAACAUCUCAAUUAUCAUCAACAUCAUACAAAACCACAUCUCAAUUAUCAUUAACAUCAUAUGCAACAACAUCUCAUCCAACAACACAUCAACAACAACCAAUAUAAAUGCAACACUUAUGCAAUGUACUCAACACCGAUUCGACAUGCAUGUAGUACCAAAUAUGAACACUCAGGUUCAUCUCACUCCAUGAUCCCCACCAUAGUAUCGAUUCCCUCUUGGAACCGGAGCACACCAAAAUCACUACCAUCACCAUAGGUAACGCUUCACUAAUCCCCCAUAAUAGGAAUUAGCUACUCGCACCCAAUCCAUCACAAUGGGAUCGAGGCUCACCAGAACUCGUUACCAUCAACAUAGGUAACACUUCACUAAUCUCCCAUAAUAAGAAUUAGCUACUCGCAUCCGAUCCAUCACCAUAGAAUCGAGGUUCACCAAAGUCAGACCGAUGUCCGUACACCAAGAUGCAUGACUCUCAAAUAACAUGCAUUAACAUAACCAAGUUCACUUAAAGGAUCCCCACACAUAUCUCAUCAUUUAUGUAUCAUAUCAUUCAUCAUGCAACAACCAAUUCAUGUUUCCACAUGAAUAGUAUCAAUAAACAGCAGCAACUCGUCAACAUAACAACAUAAUCAUCACACCACAAUAUUACAACAAUGCAAUGAUUCAUCAACCAAACAUAUAAACCAAUACAUUUAUUAACAUACUAGGCAUGUGAAGAUUAUUAAAAUAUAUCAACAAUCACCACCAUGUUAUAGGUAUGAUCGUUAGCUUUCUAACGCUUCAAACGACAUCAAAAUCGAACUUACAGAAUAAAAGUUAUGACCAAAAUCGUCAGGAUAUGUCAACAAUUCAUUAAUCAAACGUAUGAACAAAAACUUCACCAACAUAGUAGGCAUAGGAAUAAUACUUAAACAAUUCACUUAUCACCGUCACUUUAUAUCUCUGGGAGUUAGCUUUCUAAUACUUCAAACCCCAACGCAAAAUGAUUCACGAGUUGAAAGUUAUGAUCCAAAUCGUGCACAAAGGCGUUACUAAAAGUUAUUGUUUUCUAAAAUUUCCAACACAAUUUUCAUCUUCUUCAACCAUAAAAACGUCAAUGGAAUAAUCACCCAAAUUAUUUAUCCCUGAAACAAAGUUAUAGCCCUUUAUUUCAGAUAUUCAACGCUUCAAACGGUACUCGAUUUGGACUUACUAAUCAAAAGUUAUGGCCAAAACGAUUUCGACCGAAAAACAUAAAAAAAGGCUCUCACGCUGAGCGCGGUCGUGACAGACAAAAUGCAUAAUUUUCAGUAUUUUUCAUCGUUAGAGGCCUUCCGGACCUCCGAUUUCGAUUCCGUAAAAAGCCAAAUGCUUAGAAAAUUACAACCCACGCAAUACUCUAAUUAUUUAAAGUUAAUUUACAGUUUUAACACAAUUAAAUCAUUUAAUCACAGUUUUAAGAUUAUGCCUAAAACCUUCGAAAUUGCAACAAUGGCGGAUAUAUGUUCAAUCAUAAAAGUAGAAAAAUACAUGCACAUAAGGGACACGAAAUUCAUCAUAUAAUCAUCAUAUAACAACCAUCAUAGCAUCCAAAUUCAAAAUUAUGAAUCAAAACACUCAAUCCUAAAGAGGUUAAGGGUUCCUUCAUUCUACCAUUCUACCAUACCCUUUACUAUUGGAACAAGUUCUCACCCUUACCUGAAUUCCUUGCAAAAAUUCUGAAUUGAAACCUUCACUCUCUUUCCUUGAUCACAUUUUCUAUUGCUUCUUUUCUCAUUUUCCUCAAAUGUCACGUACCGUGAAAAUCUCCUUAAACCUAGGUUCCUCUUAACUUUUUAUUUUUAGGGUAAACUUUUCUAAAUCACCAAUUUGGCCCAAACUUAAUUAUCUCAUAUUCCUUCCUCCCACUAACUUUCUCAAUUUCUCAUAUUUGACUCAAUUAUUCUAUAUUCACUAAUUAAUAUAAUAAAAAUAAAUAAAACAUUAUUUUUAACUAUCAAAAUAAUUCUAAAUUAUUCUACUUACUUUUAUCAUCCAUCUAUACCCCUAACUCAAGGAUAUAUACUCCGCCAACACGCAGCCAUAAAAUAAAUCAUCAAAAUCCAUAAUUCAAACAAUUAAAAUAUAAUAAAAUAUCUAAUAAAAAACGGAGUAUUAAUACUUCAUGAAGAGGGUUUUGUUGGGAAUCUCUUAACAAGUAGUCAAGGCUAGUCAGACACAUUCGAUCGGGUGUUCCUGCGUCAAAUGCAUAAUUCGCUACGACACUGGGUAACCCAGUUUAUAUUCAAAAGUGGUGUUUAGCCAAUGUUGUAGCAACCUCAGAGGGCCCGACAGGUUCAAAGCCUUAGAAGUGGAAUGAAGUAGUUUCAGCUUCAAGGAGGCGAGUCCCAAGGAAUGAUAAAGGGACGCCAACAUAAGUUUACCCAAUGAAACUUGUCAACCCUCAUGUAGUUAAAUCGCUAGAGGAAUGAAACUAUUGGCUAUCUGCAGAGAGUCGGGACAAACACGUAGUAAGAAAGCCACAGAGUGAGAAAGGCAGUAUGCUCCUCGUUAGAAACUUCGUUAGAGUCUUUGACAUGAUGAUCAACAAUAUAAAAUUUGAGACUUUGAUGUUUGAAAGAACAUUUGUUUUCAUUCGAAUGAGUUGGGUCAAAGGUUUCGCCCAAAGGUGAAAGAUCAGUGAUGACUGCCACGUCGAAAAGAAUGGUCAUCAGCAUCCCACUGAAAAGGUGAAAGGUGUUAGUCGAACCUUCCCAAAAAUAGAGCGAAGAAAGCAACAUGCAAGAAUUGACCCUAUGGGCAUGCCUUGAGAUUUGGAUGGCGUCGAAGAUGCCAACUGUAUUCCAUUGGGCUUGACGUUUGUUUUGCAUCAUGUCGAACCAUGUUAGGUAUUCUUUGUUGUUAAAAGUAGGCAUCAACCGUAAAACUCUAGCUUAUGGGUCCAUAAACUUGAGAUCGAUGAUGCCAACCUUCUCGAAAGCAGCAAGAACAACAGUGGUGAAGCAAGGAAAAAAAUUGAACCUUUUUGGGUUGUGUUCUUUCGUUUGGAGUGGCCCAUGGAAGGUGAAACGUUUCUCAGCCACCAUGAAGGGAAUGAGUAUUUUUCGUUGCCAAGUUUCCACCUUGGAUGGAUCAUUUGAAGGUGGUUGAGGAACGAUGAUUAAACCUUCUUUUUUAGCGAGGUUGAAAACGAUGGGAUUGUUACCAGUAUCGUGUGUAACUGUAUCCACAAUGUUAGCAGAAGAAGCCAUUGCAAUGUAAGAAAGAAGGGGAAUGAGGAAAGUAUUUGUUAUGAGAGUUGUAGAAAAAUGCGCAAACGGAGAAGAAGGAAGGAAAACAAAAAAAUAUGGAAGAAUGGUAUUUAUAAGCAAAUACAAUGACAACCAAGAGUCAAUCGAUAUUAAUGACAAUUGUUCCGAUUCAGCGGUAGUAGGAAAGUUAGUAAGGGUGGUUGAAAACCCACGACCUAGGAAGUAGCUGCAAAUGAUGGCAUUUCCCCUUGGAAAUCGUGCUUAGAAAGGUGUCAUCAUUGCGCAUGACAUCAUCAAAGAUUACGCACAAUCGAAGUUUGAUGGAAGACAAAACGCCAAGUUUCUCAGUCAAAAUGUUCUCAGUCGAAACUGGCCUUUUAGGGGGGAAAUUUGUUAACCAGUAAAUUUCGACUAAAGCAAAAGAAUGAGCAAAAGCGAGAGUUUCGACAGGCAAGAUGGGACAAAGGACAUAAGCCAUGUCAAAAGGAUGUCGACGGGGAAUGAGGCAGUCGAAGCCAAACAAGCAAAAACGAUAUAAUCGGUUGAGCAGAAUGUGGGGGGAAGUUGCAAAAGACGUGGGGGCUGCAGGUUUAGACGUGUGUGUCACACGGUGAACUGACUUUAGUGUGUUUUGCUUUUGAUCGCAAUGUCGCGGAUAGCAAGAGUCGCCACCGACUUUUCUUUUAUCCAAUAAGGAAAGGUGAAAAAGAACAGGAAAGACCUUAAUUAGAUUUUGGGUUCGGGAGGUACAUUAUACAAAGGGAAGGUGUUAGCACCCUUUGUAUCCAUGGUUAUCCAUGGGCUCUUAAUUGCUNNNNNNNNNNNNNNNNNNNNNNNNNNNNNNNNNNNNNNNNNNNNNNNNNNNNNNNNNNNNNNNNNNNNNNNNNNNNNNNNNNNNNNNNNNNNNNNNNNNNNNNNNNNNNNNNNNNNNNNNNNNNNNNNNNNNNNNNNNNNNNNNNNNNNNNNNNNNNNNNNNNNNNNNNNNNNNNNNNNNNNNNNNNNNNNNNNNNNNNNNNNNNNNNNNNNNNNNNNNNNNNNNNNNNNNNNNNNNNNNNNNNNNNNNNNNNNNNNNNNNNNNNNNNNNNNNNNNNNNNNNNNNNNNNNNNNNNNNNNNNNNNNNNNNNNNNNNNNNNNNNNNNNNNNNNNNNNNNNNNNNNNNNNNNNNNNNNNNNNNNNNNNNNNNNNNNNNNNNNNNNNNNNNNNNNNNNNNNNNNNNNNNNNNNNNNNNNNNNNNNNNNNNNNNNNNNNNNNNNNNNNNNNNNNNNNNNNNNNNNNNNNNNNNNNNNNNNNNNNNNNNNNNNNNNNNNNNNNNNNNNNNNNNNNNNNNNNNNNNNNNNNNNNNNNNNNNNNNNNNNNNNNNNNNNNNNNNNNNNNNNNNNNNNNNNNNNNNNNNNNNNNNNNNNNNNNNNNNNNNNNNNNNNNNNNNNNNNNNNNNNNNNNNNNNNNNNNNNNNNNNNNNNNNNNNNNNNNNNNNNNNNNNNNNNNNNNNNNNNNNNNNNNNNNNNNNNNNNNNNNNNNNNNNNNNNNNNNNNNNNNNNNNNNNNNNNNNNNNNNNNNNNNNNNNNNNNNNNNNNNNNNNNNNNNNNNNNNNNNNNNNNNNNNNNNNNNNNNNNNNNNNNNNNNNNNNNNNNNNNNNNNNNNNNNNNNNNNNNNNNNNNNNNNNNNNNNNNNNNNNNNNNNNNNNNNNNNNNNNNNNNNNNNNNNNNNNNNNNNNNNNNNNNNNNNNNNNNNNNNNNNNNNNNNNNNNNNNNNNNNNNNNNNNNNNNNNNNNNNNNNNNNNNNNNNNNNNNNNNNNNNNNNNNNNNNNNNNNNNNNNNNNNNNNNNNNNNNNNNNNNNNNNNNNNNNNNNNNNNNNNNNNNNNNNNNNNNNNNNNNNNNNNNNNNNNNNNNNNNNNNNNNNNNNNNNNNNNNNNNNNNNNNNNNNNNNNNNNNNNNNNNNNNNNNNNNNNNNNNNNNNNNNNNNNNNNNNNNNNNNNNNNNNNNNNNNNNNNNNNNNNNNNNNNNNNNNNNNNNNNNNNNNNNNNNNNNNNNNNNNNNNNNNNNNNNNNNNNNNNNNNNNNNNNNNNNNNNNNNNNNNNNNNNNNNNNNNNNNNNNNNNNNNNNNNNNNNNNNNNNNNNNNNNNNNNNNNNNNNNNNNNNNNNNNNNNNNNNNNNNNNNNNNNNNNNNNNNNNNNNNNNNNNNNNNNNNNNNNNNNNNNNNNNNNNNNNNNNNNNNNNNNNNNNNNNNNNNNNNNNNNNNNNNNNNNNNNNNNNNNNNNNNNNNNNNNNNNNNNNNNNNNNNNNNNNNNNNNNNNNNNNNNNNNNNNNNNNNNNNNNNNNNNNNNNNNNNNNNNNNNNNNNNNNNNNNNNNAAAACAGCCACUGUCCCGUUCGCCCCUGCUUCGCCUAGCGAAGGCUUAGCGAGGGCUCGCUCCAGGCUCGCUUAGCGAUGUGCUAGCGAGCGGCGACGGAUUUUGAGUUUGACAGCAGCAUGAUCUCCGGAACCCUGACCUUCAUGGCAUUUAAUUAUAGGAAUAGCAUGGACAAACAUUCAGGAUAUUCAGGCAUACUUAAAUUCAUACAUGAAAUCAUGUUACUUAUCCGAAAAUUUAAUCAUGAUGCCUUAUAUAUGUAAAGAUUAUCGAUUAAAAGCAUAAAACAUUGGUGAUACGCAAACCUGUUUGUAACUAAGCUUGGUAUCGAAUGGAGUUGGGCGGCGGUAGCUUCGGUGCGGAUGAGCGGCCUUCAGGGUUUCUAUGCCAGGGUUUCCGUCUGUCUUCCUCCGUUUUUUUUCUUUCUGACUGAAGCUUGGCUAUUUAUAAUGCUCUUGUUGUGACCUAAUGGGUUCAGAAUGAAGCCCGAAAAUUUUGUUAUUCGCAAGCUUCACUAGGCGAGCUGUAUAGCGAAGGGUUCGCUAGGCGAAGGAAUUGCUUGCCUAGCGAGCAAGCUAGUUUAGGCCCUUUUCUGGAGCGGGUCUGUUGUGAGCUGGGCUUUUGUCCCUUUAAGGUUAGUGCCUUGCAGAAUAAGUCGGAGUACUUCGAGAAAUGUUUUGCAAGAUUAAUGGGCAAAUUUUGAGGUAUGACAGUGUGGUUGUAGGUUUAGACGUGUGGCACAUUGUAGAUGAACAACAAUGUAGCACUUAUUUCUCAUUACUAUUUAAGUAGAUUUGAUUUCUAGUUUUAAAUGUCACAUUUGUAACAUUAUAGAGGGGAAAUACUCAAAGUAUCAAUCGUUUAGAGAAAAGAGUUCAUUCCUACAAAAAUGUAUUCUUGCAUCCACAUUUAUCUUCAAGCAAUUUAAAUUACCAAAUUUUUCUAUCUGCUUUUCCAUUUACGGUUUAUCUUGUCUUUCGUUCAUCUAUUUUAAUUGCACCUUUUGUAAGCAUUUUAUGUCUACCGUUUUCUUAAUCCAAACAUUUAAACAAAACAUCCCCCAAACUUAACACUUAGUUAGAUUUUGUAGUCGAUCCUGCAAGUAAACCUCAAUAGGAGGGUAGAGAUUGUUCGCGCGAAAACCCGUGCGAACAGUAACACUGGUGAAGUUUCCUGAAUCUUUGUCUUUCAAGGCAGAAAUAAUGUACCGUGGAGGCAAUGUUGUACUUCGUCAUGUCAUUCACAAACUGUCUCUAAUGAACUUUUAGAAGAUCCAAUAUGUCAUGGCCAUAUAAAUCCUCACAUAGUUUAUGAUUGUGAAACUCACACCUAACGAUCACCUUCCAACCAAUAACACUCAACGCAGAUCUCAGCCUAAAAUGGCAUUUCACUUUCAUACUAAAAGUGUCCUUUGAGGAUUUACUGCUUUCAAAUGUAUUCUUCCUUUUAUAAUUACCUCUUCUCUCACAAUCUAAAAUCAAUUUAUCUUUCCAACCCUACUGGCCAUUUACAGUAGCAGAACGAACAGUCACAUCUAUAAUGCCAUGUUGUUUGCCAAUAUUUUGUGCCCAGACUAAUACUUCAGAUUGGGACUCAAAUAUCUGUCAUUUACAUCACAUAAAAAGUAAACUACCAAUAUCACAUAAGGGCGAGAAAAUAUUUAAUUUAAACUUAUUACAUAGCAAAAUAUAUUUUGUAUGUGGUGAAGAAUUGCAUACAAUCGCUACACGAAUCUGUAGAUGACCAUGCCGACUCCGGACCACACAAAUAAAGCAUUUUUUGAAAUUUUGGCUCUGUUACCAUAAAUUUCAAAUAUACUCAAAAUUUCCAAUAUAUCGAAAAUUUGAAAAUUUUCGGUACUUGUUGUUUGUCCACGGAAAUUUUGAGAAUUUUCGGUAUUGUAUAUUGGAAUUUAUUUUUUUUCCGAAAAUUUCCAAAAUUCUGGUAUAUGAAUACGAAAAACGGAGUAUCGGAAAUUUCAUUUUUGUAAGUUUGAAAAAAUAAAAAUUAUGGAAUAAAAGUAAAAUUUGAAGUGUAAAUAUUAGCAAGGAUAUUUUAAAAAUAUUGAAAAAUAAGGGGGUAUCAGAUUUUAUUGGGGAUCGUAAGAAGAAUUCUCCCGAUAUUUAAGGAUCCUUUAGAAUUAUUUUUUUAGGUCUCAAUAGAUUAAGAAGUUGGCGUCUCAUUGAUUGACCAUGGACAAUUUGAAAGAAAAAAAAGAUCACCUUUGUUUUUUAGAGGAAAAAGGAAGCAAUUAAGUAGAGAAAACAAAAAGAAUAAAUGGAAGAAGUUGAGGAAAUCUAUAUUUACACGAUCAAUUAGUAUGUGUUAAGAGUCAUGUAUCAUGAUCAAUUAGUAUGUGUUAAAGUCUUGUAUCAGAUAAUAUAUAAUCCAAAUAUAUUUUUCUAAAUGAGGACAAAUCUAACCUUACAAAUAAGUUUUUUAGAGUUAAAUUAGAUUCAAUCACAUUUUAUUUUUUAUUUUUUGAACAGUAAGAAAUAAGAUCUAUAUUUUCUUCUCUAUUUGUUUACGUCCAUACAAAAAAUGUGCAAUGAUUGUGAAAGAUGUCAUGCAUAUGCAGUCACCAUAUAUUAUUUACAUAAAAAGAACUACUUAUUCUUUCGGCCUCAAAUUUUACCUAGGAAUUAUGUAUGCAAAUAUGAAAUAUUCAUGGACUUUUUUCGUCCAUUCUUUCUCUGGAAAUUACUCCCUAUGUUUAUAGAAUUUGAUUUCUUUUGAGUAAAUUAGCACUUUAAAUGUAAAAGUAUGGCAUCUUAUCAAACAACCGGUUGAUGAAAAUUUCACAUUUUCAGGUAGUAAUAUGAAAUUGAUAAUGGAAAGAUGAUAUAGUAUUAAUAAUAAAUAUAUUUGAAAAGAUAACAAUAAAUGUAUUAUAUCUAUAAAUUUACAAGGUUCUUAUAUUUACAUACAAACAAAUGCAGUAAUGUUUCAAACAAUAUGCAGUAAGUAAUUAACACUUUAAUUUGAAGGAUUAAUCAAUUUGGUAACUGAAGUAGCUAAUUGAAAGUUUAUUCUUUAUAAAUCUUUGUAAUGCAGAAUAUGUAAGAAAGAAACAUGGAGUAUAAGAAGUAAAGCCAUGGUCCCCUGCCACCGAUUUCAGCUAUAAGAAUUGCAAGUAUGCUCUUUGUCUGGUAAUGGAGAUGAUGAAGCCAUUAGCCACCUCCUCUAUCAGACAUAGGUGUAAAGCAUUAUGCUUCCAUAGCCAUGCAAGCUGCAGAAUGUCCAAUUCUCAACAUCCCACUUUCAAUGACGUGUCCAACCUUCACCACCCUCUCUUCUCUAUAAAUUACCACUUCUCAUUAAGGUUCUCCGCAUCACAACCAACAUUCUCUUAGUAUCUCUCUUCAUGGCUAAGCUUCUUGCACUUUCUCUUUCAUUCUGUUUUCUACUUUUGGGUGGCUGUUUUGCUUUGACAGAACAGCCACAGCAAAAUGAGUGCCAGCUAGAACGCCUCGAUGCCCUCGAGCCUGAUAACCGUAUAGAAUCGGAAGGUGGGCUCAUUGAGACUUGGAAUCCCAACAACAAGCAAUUCCGAUGUGCUGGUGUGGCCCUCUCUCGUGCUACCCUUCAACGCAACGCCCUUCGCAGACCUUACUACUCCAAUGCUCCCCAAGAAAUUUUCAUCCAACAAGGUUACUUAUUUUGAUCUUAUACCAACUUCUUUACGUACAUUACAUGCAUAUUAGCAUACUAAUUAGUGUUCUACUAUACCAAUUACAGGUAAUGGAUAUUUUGGCAUGGUAUUCCCCGGUUGUCCUGAGACCUUUGAAGAGCCACAAGAAUCUGAACAAGGAGAGGGACGCAGGUACAGAGACAGACAUCAAAAGGUUAACCGAUUCAGAGAGGGUGAUAUCAUUGCAGUUCCUACUGGUAUUGUAUUUUGGAUGUACAACGACCAAGACACUCCAGUUAUUGCCGUCUCUCUUACUGACAUUAGAAGCUCCAAUAACCAGCUUGAUCAGAUGCCUAGGGUGAGCACUGAGCAUAAUUAAACUUCCCAUAUAAGAUAAUAUGUUGUCUAAAACAGUAACAUAGAUUCUAUCUAUCUAUGUUUGACAGAGAUUCUAUCUUGCUGGGAACCACGAGCAAGAGUUUCUACGAUACCAGCAUCAACAAGGAGGAAAGCAAGAACAAGAAAAUGAAGGCAACAACAUUUUCAGUGGCUUCAAGAGGGAUUUCUUGGAAGAUGCUUUCAACGUGAACAGGCAUAUAGUAGACAGACUUCAAGGCAGGAAUGAAGACGAAGAGAAGGGAGCCAUUGUCAAAGUGAAAGGUGGACUCAGCAUCAUAAGCCCACCCGAGAAGCAAGCGCGCCACCAGAGAGGCAGCAGACAAGAGGAAGAUGAAGAUGAAGAGAAGCAGCCGCGCCACCAGAGAGGCAGCAGACAAGAGGAAGAGGAAGAUGAAGAUGAAGAGAGGCAGCCGCGUCAUCAAAGGAGAAGAGGAGAGGAGGAAGAAGAAGACAAGAAAGAGCGCCGCGGCAGCCAAAAAGGCAAAAGCAGAAGGCAAGGAGACAAUGGGCUUGANAGUUUUGUGGCACUAGUCAAUGCACGUCCGGCUUCUAGCUCUCCAUCAACACGGUGUUGCCAUUGCAGUUCACUACUUGUAGCCUUGCACGUCCCUUCAAUGCGUAUAUUAUACUGUUUGCAUUCAGGUUGUAGUGAGGCACAAACAUAGCAUUCUGUAUGAAGAUUUAAUGAGUUAGCUAUUAUUCUCCAACACAUAGUUCGACAUGAAAUUGAUUCAUGGAAAAACAAAUUAAAUGAUGAAAAAACAUACUUUUGGAGAGAUCAUGCUCAGCACUUAGUUUGAGCCACCUGAGAACUGGGAGGUCCAGGCUGGUAACAGUUUGAUAUCUACCAGCUUCAGGGUUGUAGAUGUCUGGUGAAUGAAGACGGGCCAAUGUUCAAUCGAAGUUUAGCAGUGCAAACUGUUUCCUCAAGCCCAUUGUCUCCUGCCUUCUGCUUUUGCCUUUUUGGCUGCCGCCGCCCCUCUUCUGUCUUCUUCUUCCUCCUCUCCUCUUCUCCUUUGAUGACGCGGCUGCCUCUCUUCAUCUUCAUCUUCCUCUUCCUCUUGUCUGCUGCCUCUCUGGUGCGCGGCUGCUUCUCUUCAUCUUCAUCUUCUCUGUCUGCUGCCUCUCUGGUGGCGCGCCUUGCUUCUCGGUGGGCUUAUGAAUGCUGAGUCCACUUUCACUUUGACAAUGCUCCCUUUCUCUCGUCUUCAUUCCUGCCUUGAAGUCUUUCUCUAUAUGCCUGUUCACAGUGAAACAUCUUCCAAAUCCCUCUUGAAGCCACUGAAAAUGUUGUUGCCUUCAUUUUCUUGUUCUUGCUUUCCUCCAUGCUGUGGCUGCAAAGUCACUAAGCGACAGGUUCUCAUAUGUAGCAUUCAAGACCAAUGAUAGAGCUGGUAUUGCAAGACUUGCAGGGACAUCAUCAGUUAUAAAUAAUCUGCCGUUGGAUGUUGUUGCAGCUACAUUCAACCUGCAGAGGAAUGAGGCAAGGCAGCUCAAGUCCAACAAUCCCUUCAAAUUUCUAGUUCCAGCUCGUGAGUCUGAGAACAGAGCUUCGGCUUAGAUUUGGCACCAAAUCAAUGAAAGUAAUGAAUAAGAAAACUAAGGCUUAGAUGCCUUUGUUACUUGUGUAAAAUAACUCGAGUCAUGUACCUUUUAGCGGAAACAGAAUAAAUAAAAGGUAAAAUUUCAGUGCUCUAUGCUUUUCUACUCCAAGUUAUAACCAGAUGAUAUAUAUAACAAUCACAAUAAAUAAAUGUGAGUAAAAAAAUAUUGAAGAAAAAUGAUGUAUUGAAAUUAUAACUAGCCGGAUUGGAUUUAAGGAGUUACAAUGAAAUUUUUUGAGAUAGCUUGGAGGAUGUUUGAUUCUAGUAGAUUUUUCCACACUGUUAUGGGUAUUUUAAAUAUAAAUAAUGUGGGUAAUAAUAGGGAUGCAUAUUAGGGUUGGAGUCAUAAAUGUAACUGGGGAUCCAUGAAGGAAUCAUAAAAAAAGAACAGCAUCAUCAUCAGUGGCAUAGUGAGUGACAUUGGAAGCAAAUGAAGUGACAUUAUCAUUGUGAUACUUAUAAGGAAAAAUAUCCGCUUAAAACACCAUGUCUAGAAAUGAAUGUGCUAUCAAGAUACAUGUCAUAAAGAUCAUAAACCUCAGGUUUACAUCAGACAAAAAUUCACUUCCUAACUCUAGGGUCAAGCUUAUCCCUUCUUAGCAUCAAGGUGUUGGCAAAGGAUAAGCAACAAACACUUUUAGAUCAAUAAAAGUAGGUGAAGAUUGAAACAAAAUCUCAUAGGUAGUUAUGUUGUUUAUCACAUGAGAAAAGGCAAUUUAUUAAUGCCGUGAGUGACAUGGCAUAAAGCAAAGGACCAAAACCGUUUUGAAAGUCUUGAGGGAAAAAGCAAGGAUCUAAUAACAUUCAAUAGGUGUCUAUGUUUUCUCUCAACAACAGAAUUUAUUGUGAAGUUUCUACACAAUUCUGGUGUAAAAUGGUGAAGGAGAUAUAAAAGGAAGACAUAUUAAGUUACACUCCAUUAUCACUUUGUAGAAACAAAUUUAACAAAAACUAGAAAUGCAAGAUUUAGUGCCAAACUUAUUUUUCAUAAAGAUUGCUCAAGUAAAUUUAGAAAAGUUGUCAACAAUAGUAAAGGAAAAUUGAUAACUUGUAAGGAAAUGUUGCUAAUAGACCCCAAAUGUCUAUGCGUAUGAGAUCAACACAUUUUAAAGAUGUCAGUAGGAGAAGAUAAUUUUGUUGGUUAGAAAAAUGACAAUGAUCACGAAUGAUGCAGUAAUGAGACAUUGUGAGGUGUAAUGCAGAAUACUUACAUAGCCAUGCAAGAUGAAGAAUGUCUAAUGUACAGCAACCCAUGCAUACUCUCUGAUCUGACGCGUCCCUCCUACACUCUACUCUCCUCCCCUAUAAAUAUCAAUGCCAAAUUAAGGUUCUCCGCAUCCCAAACAUAUAUUCUAUCCAACUAUGGCUACUAAGCUUCUUGCACUCUCUCUUUCCCUUUGUUUUCUACUUUUUAGUAGCUGCUUUGCUCUCAGAGAGCAGUCUUAACGAAAUGAGUGUCAGCUGGAACGCCUCAAUGCCCUCGGACCUGAUAAUUGUAUAGAGUCGGAAGGUGGACUCGUUGAGACUUGGAAUCCAAACAACAGGCAAUUCCGAUGUGUGGGUGUGACCCUCUCUCGUGCUACGCUUCAACCCAAUGCCUUUCGCAGACCUUACUAUUCCAAUGCUCCCCAAGAAAUUUACAUCCAACAAGGUUCGUUACUUUGAUAUUCUUUCAAUGUCUUUACUUACAUUACUUUCCAUACAUAUUAGUGUUUUUUACUACAUCAAUUACAGGUAAUGGAUAUUUUGGCAUUGUAUUCCCUGGUUGUCCUGAGACCUUUGAGGAGCUACAAGAAUCUGAACAAAGAGAGGGACGCAGGUAUAGAGACAGCCACCAAAAAGUUAACCGAUUCAGAGAGGGUGAUAUCAUUGCAGUUCCUAGUGGUGUUGUAUUUUGGAUGUACAAUGACCAAGACACUCCAGUUAUUGCCAUUUCUCUUACUGAAACGGGUAGCUCCAUAACCAGCUUGAUCAGAUGCCUAGGGUGAGAACUAAGCAUAAUUAAACUUCCUGUAUAAUAUAUUAGAUAAUAAUAAGCUAAAUAAUGUCCAAAUCAGUAACAUAGAUCGGUAAUUGUUUGAUUUUGACUGAAUUAUUUGAAGAAGCAUAUAGUAGACAAACUCCAAGGCAGGAACAAAGAUGAGGAGAAGGGAGCCAUUGUCAAAGUUAAAGGUGGUCUCAGCAUCAUAAGCCCACCUGAGAGACAACCACAUCACCAGAAAGGCAGCAGACAAGAUGAAGAUGAAGAGAGGCAGCCGUGUCAUCAAAGGAGAAGAGGAGAGGAGGAAGAAGAAGACGAGAAAGAGCGCCACUGCAGCCAAAAAGGCAAAAGCAGAUGGCAUGGAGACAAUGGGCUUGAGGAAAC
rnacentral:lncRNA from 1 species